rnacentral:lncRNA from 1 species
GAACAUAGUGGAUACUAGGGAUCAAACCCUAACAAAACUAACUUGAUUACAUGGUGAAUCUCAUCCAACCCAUCACCGUCCAGCAAGCCUACGAUGGAAUUACUCACGCACGGCGAUGAGCAUCAUGAAAUUGGUGAUGGAGGAUGGUUGGUGAUGACGACGGCGAUGAAUCCCCCUCUCCGGAGCCCCGAACGGACCCCAGAUCAGCCCUCCCGAGAGAGAUUAGGGCUUGGCGGCGGCUCCGUGUCGUGAAACGCGAUGAAACUUUCUCUCUGAUUUUUUUCUCCCCGAGACGGAAUAUAUGGAGUUGGAGUUGAGGUCGGAGGGUGUCCAGGGGGCCCAUGAGAUAGGGGGCCGCGCCCUAGGGGGGCGCGCCCCACUGUCUCGUGGACAAGCCGUGGGCCCCUGGCACUAAUUCUUUUGCCAAAAAUUCUUAUUAACUCUGAAAAGUCCCUCCGUGGAUUUCUAGGACAUUCCGAGAACUUUUCUUUUCUACACAUAAAACAACAUCAUGGUAGUUCUGCUGAAAACAACGUCAGUCCGAGUUACUUUCAUUCAAAUCAUGCAAGUUAGAGUCCAAGACAAGGGCAAAAGUGUUUGGGAAAGUAGAUACGAUGGAGACGUAUCACUCGUCUCAUUGUUAUGGACAACAUUACCUCUGGGGGAGCGCUGGCUUUAGGCCGAACUCUCUGACUUGACGGCUUCAUCAUGGCUGCCCCAUCGGUGGUUGCGCCGAUGAUGGCCUCUCGGGUCAUCAUGCAUAACCUUCACGACCAAUCGGAACUCGCCGAACAGAUGGAUCUGAUAGAGCUCUCCUCCCUUAAUGAGCUCCUGGAUCGCGUCGCCGCUCUGGGAGUCGCUACGGACUAUGACUAGAUUGGGCUUAAACCCGACCAGAGGGACAUUCAAUCCCCACCGGCCACCCAUGAGAUAGCGGUAGUGGAGGAACCACACACAGAUUACCCCUCAAUUUUGAGGAUGAAUUAUGUCCGGAUCACUGAGCUCCCUGAGCCGGACACCCGCUCAAGGGAAGACAUGACCCAAGUCCCGGACAUAGAAUCGGGCACUGGGCCAGAGAAAUUGGGCAGCACCCCGGAUCCCGAGCUGUCAGACUCGGAAGCACCCAUGCCCCUGGGCGCUAGAUCGGAUCAGAAUCUGGAUUCAGCUGCGCCCACCCACCCGAACUUCAACCGUCUCUCCCAUAUCAGGAAAGAGCCCCAGUAGACAGUACAUUGCUACUGGGCCAGAUUCCUCCUUGUGCUAAACAAGGUCAAGGACUGCCGCGAGGAGGACGUAGUCUCACUUUUCUGCAAAAACUGCACGAACAAAGGAAUCCUUAAUGCUAUAAGUUGUCGUGACAUAGUACACUUUGCUGACUUGGCAACUAUAGUACAAAAGUACUGUGCGAUGGAAUGCACCUAGAAAACCCAAACAGAAUUUUGGGAUAGUCCGGCUCUCACCAAAACCUUUGUCCGAACUAAACGGGCGAACUCUCGUAAGUCGGCCGAUCCAAUCCCCAAGAAACCAAAGCCCACCCCAGGGCAGGGAACCGUAUUGGAAGAAUGGCUCAAUGGGCCAUGUAAACUCCAAAGUACUCCGGACACAACACCAACUCAUAGCCUUAGGGCAUGUUGGAUACUCCGGCAGGUUCCCAAAAGUGGCGAGGAUCUUCUCGCAAGCCAUAAAGCAGAACAACAUCCCGCCAACGAACACAAUAUAGUACUAAUAGUCUUCGAGACUUUUGCCUCAAACAAUAGGCGCAAGCGAGCUCAUCGAAGCUCCGCCGAAAUCUGCCAUCUGGCAAAAAUAAACCCAUGGAACGACACUGCUAUAACUUUCAAUGCCAGUGAUGAACCUUGGUUCCAGACUGUCCGGGCACCAACCGCUCUGGUCCUUAGCGCAAUCAUGGACGGCUUUCGGCUCACUAAAGUACUCAUGGACGGCGGAAGCGGACUAAACUUGAUCUACGAAGAAACACUUAACAAGAUGGAAAUUUAUAAAAUCCGCAUUGAACAAAGUGGCACAACCUUCAGGGGAAUUAUCCCUAGUCGGGAAGCGCCGCGUGCAAGAAAAAUCACACUCGAUGUGGUAUUCGGCACCCCAGAGAAUUAUAGGUCCGAAGAAAUCACAUUCCAAGUGGCUCCUUUUAGCAGCGGAUACCACGCCCUUCUAGGGCGGGACGCGUUUACGAGCUUUCAAGCUAUACCCCAUUAUGGGUACAUGAAGCUUAAAAUGCCUGGACCCAAAGGAUUCAUCACUCUAGCUAGUGAUCCGGACGUCGCACUUCGCGCCGAAAAUAAAACCAUAGCACUAGCCCUGGAAGCAUUAUCCGAAGCCCUAGCAGCCGAAGAAUUAACAACACUGCGGGCCACCAUGGACAAGGACGACGUGAUACUCGACAAGCGACCCAAGUCCACCUCAUUUAAACCCGCAGACAAGAUAGUCAAAUUCCAAGUCCAUCCAAAGGACCCCACGAAGACAGCUUCCAUCGGGACACAGUCGAACCCUGCAAUGGACACUGCACUGCGAGACUUCUUACGCGAGAAUUGGGACAUUUUCGCCUGGCACCCAUCGGACAUGCCGGGCAUCCCACGCAUAUUGGCCGAACAUUGCCUCAAUAUACUAAAAGGAUACAAACCUGUCAAGCAGACCCUAAGGCGGUUUUCAGAGCCCAAACGGCAAGCCAUGGGGGAAGAGCUAGCCAAGCUACUUGAGGCCGGAUUCAUCAGAGAUAUCAAGCAUCCGGAUUGGCUGGCAAAUCUAGCAAUGGUACCAAAGAAGGACAAAUCCUGGCGCUUAUGCGUCGACUUCAAAGACCUCAACAAGGCUUGCCCCAAGGAUCCCUUUUCUCUCCCUCGCAUCGAUCAAAUCAUUGAUGCCACAGCAGGACAUGACUUGCUGUGUUUCCUCGAUGCAUACUCUAGAUACCAUCAAAUAAAGAUGGUAGAGUCCGACCAAGCUGCAACAGCUUUCAUAACACCAUAUGGCCCUUUCUUCUUCAACACUAUGCCUUUCGGGCUUAAGAAUGCCGGAGCAACCUAUCAACGCAUGAUUCAAACAUGCCUGGAAAAGCAAAUCGGCAAAACAGUGGAGGCAUAUGUGGACGACGUGGUCAUAAAAACAAGACACGUCGAAACCCUAACAGAUGACUUGAGGCUUACAUUCGAUAACCUCCAGACAUAUGACAUCAAACUGAAUCCGGAAAAAUGCGUUUUCGGCGUCCCGUCGGGGAAACUGCUGGGCUUCAUUGUUUCCAAUAGAGGAAUUGAAGCGAAUCCGGUAAAAAUCUGAGCUCUGUCACAGUUGGCUAUACCAACAGACCUCAAACACAUCCAAAAACUAGCUGGAUGUGUGGCCGCUUUGAGCUGCUUUAUCUCCAGGUUAGGAGAAAAGGCAUUACCUCUUUACCGCCUUCUUCGGCGCACUGAACACUUCGUGUGGACGGAUGCAGCCACGGCCGGACUCGAUGAAAUAAAGACCUUACUGGACAGUAAUCCAGUCCUAACAGCGCCAAAUAUCGGCGAGCCUAUGCUGCUGUACAUAGCUGCAACACAUCAAGUUGUAAGCGCAGUGCUCGUCGUCGAACGAGAGGUUGACGGAUACAAAUUCCCGCUCCAAGCCGGUUUAUUACGUAUCCACGAUCCUCACCCCAUGCAAAUCCCGAUACCCACACUAUCAAAAAAUAGCAUACGCGGUCUUCAUGGCAUUCCGGAAGCUAUGACACUACUUUCAAGAGUGUUCGAUUAUGGUGGCCUCCGAAGUACCACUCAAUGACAUAAUAAAUAACCGCGAUGCUACGGGCCGGAUUGCUAAAUGGGCCAUCGAGCUCCUUCGGUUCGACAUAACAUACAAACCACAGCGGGCCAUCAAGUCGCAAGUACUGGCUGACUUUGUCGCCGAAUGGACAGAAGCCGAACUCCCUAAAGAGUACGACGUGUACUCUAACUGGAUCAUGCACUUCGACGGCUCUAAAAUGCUUGCCGGAUUGGGAGCAGGUGUAGUCCUAACGUCUCCCACCGGAGACACGGUCCAGUACGUCCUCCAAAUAUUAUACACAGACUCCAACAAUGCAGCCAAAUAUGAGGCUCUGUUGCACGGUCUUCGGAUGGCAGUCUCUAUGGGCAUCCAACGCCUAGAAAUGCGUGGGGAUUCAAACCUCACAAUAUCACAAAUAAACGGAGACUUUGAUGCCAAGGAUCCGAAAAUGGCGCCCUACCGUAAUGCCGUCCUCAAGAUGUCAGCUCGGUUCGAGGGGCUCGAAUUCCACCAUGUGGCUCGAGAAAACAAUCAAGCGGUGGACGUCCUCGCCCGCACCGGUGCUAAACAUGACCCUGUCCCACCUAAAAUAUUCCUGGAAAGGCUGUUCAAGCCAUCCGUGGUAUGGGAAGGGCAGUCCGACAAUACUAGCACGGAUCUUAAUACACCCCCAGAUUCCGAACUAUCAGACAUAAUCGGAGGCUCUACCACCGAAAUAACAUCUUCGGCCCACAAAAUAAUGGUUGUAAUCGCCCCGUGGACUGAGCCUUUCUUGGCCUAGCUAAAUAGGCAGGAGCUCCCCGAAGACCAAAAUGAAGCACGCUGCAUCGUCCGGCGUUCUAAAGCUUACAAAGUCCAUGAAGGGGAACUCUAUAAGAAAAGUGCGACCGAAGUGCUCCAAAGGUGCAUCUCCGAAGAGGAAGGGCAACAGCUCUUGGCUGAAAUCCAUGCCGGACUGGGCGGGCACCCCGCCACGGCUCGAGCACUAGUCAGCAAGGCCUUCCGUACAAGCUUCUAUUGGCCGACGGCCCGAGCAGACGCACAGGACCUUGUACAACACUGCUUCGGUUGCCAGCUCUUUGCCAAUCAGAGUCAUAUGCCCCCUACCGCUCUCCAAACAAUCCCCAUAACUUGGCCCUUCGUGGUCUGGGGGCUGGAUAUGGUUGGACCUCUUAAAGGGGGAAGCCAUAAGAAAAAAUACUUAUUGGUCAUGGUGGACAAGUUCACCAAAUGGAUAGAAGCCAAACCGGUCAAAACGGCCGAAUCCGGACCAGUAAUAGACUUCAUAUCUGGGGUCGUACACCGAUACGGUGUCCCCCACAGCAUCAUCACUGAUAAUGGCUCAAAUUUCACAACCGACGAAGUGAAAACUUGGUGCGGCAAAAUGGGCAUUAAGCUUGAUUACGCUUCCGUCUACCAUCCCCAAACAAACAGCCAGGUCGAACGGGCAAACGUUCUCAUCAUGAGCGGCAUCAAAUCCAGACUAGUGCAAUCCUUGACAGAGUCGGAUACGCACUGGGUCGAAGAGCUCGACUCCGUACUAUGGGGGAUGCUGACCACGCCGAAUUGCACCACCGGAUAUACACCAUUUUUCAUGGUGUACGGCGCGGAAGCAGUACUACCCUGCGACAUAAUACAUGAUUCUCCAUGCAUACGCAUGUACGAAGAGAAGGAAGCCGAGUUAGAUCGUCAGGAUAGCUUGGAUGCCCUGGAGGAGGAGCGCGACAUCGCAAAAGCCUGCUCCGCAUUCUAUCAGCAGCAGGCUCGACGAUACCAAAGCAGAGAAGUGCGGGCCAAAACUUAUAAUAUUGACGAGCUCGUUCUACGCCUACCGGAGAAGAAGAAGAACAAGCUCAAACCCAAGUGGGAAGGUCCCUUCAUCAUUGACAAAGUUCUCACCGGAGGAGCGUACCGCUUACGUAAUGCAUCCGAUAACAGACUCAGCCGAACCCAUGGAACACGGCCAGACUCCGGAGAUUCUACGCCUAGUGCCGAACUCAGUGUUCGUCUCCUUAAACCCUCCUUUUUAAUUAUGCCCCUCCCCAUUCCUUUCUCGACCUUUUUUCCUCUUCACACAAAGUAUUUAAUACAGUACGGACUCCCGGAUCAUUCCUGCCGCACUAUGUGUGUAAGUAAUACCUGGGGGCUUCCUAUACGGAAGCUAAAAAUAAUAACUCUAAUGGCUUUUUUCUCAUCACAUAUGCGUUUCUUUUUCCAUAUGUGCCUUUUCUUCACCAUUAUAUGCAUCGAUAUGACUUAAGAUGUGGCCAAGCUGGGUUGCCUGGCUCUUGUGUUUAUGCCCUAUGUUCCCGUUAAUUCGGCUAGGGCAUAAGGGGAGCACCUCUGCGAUUGUUACUGCCGGUUCAGCCGGAUGUGUACCUCAGACUGGGUGAAGCCGAAAGCUAGCGUCCUUAAGAGAAUAUUCGGUCGGUGAACAAAAGAUGUAUUCGUUUAUUACAACAUAAAUCCCCAGAAGUUUUGUAUCCUACGCCCUUGUUCACAGUCCGGACAUGUGCAUAGUCGCAUGCGUACCCAGGGAAAGGAACCCCUAACGGAACUAUUAUCCCUGGAAGAUGUUUCUUACUAUCCAUGUAAUAUAGCAUAACUAGUUGGGUACUUGUCUGUUCAAGCACUUAUGACCCCUACGCCCGGUUUCCACGCAUACCCCGGUUUUGUAUAACUGAUCGGGUAUUUGGACACACACCGGACUAUAGAAUCCGGGGUCUGGAGCGAAAAGGUCCGCCAUGACAAAUGAUUUUAAUCCGGCAGGGACUACUUAUGUCCAUUGAAUUACAUAGUCACUUGGACUGACUAUAUUCCUCCUCUAUACCAUCCAACAGGCUAUCUAACUUAUAAUCCUAUUGAGAAUACUUUGCGACAAACGCUACCUGGUCAUAUACCAGACUUACAGGAAUUUCUUGCCCAUCUGGCCCCGCCGGUCCGACUUCGGCCAUAUGGUUCGGGUCUAGCUUGGUGUAGCGCGUCUUCACCAUAGCCCAGGCUUCUCUUGCACCUUGCAAACAGGCUGACAUCUUCCACAAUCGGAAGCGCCGCCGUGCUCCUUGAAGCAUAUCCACAAGCUCCCCCAUGCCAUUCGGCAGGAAGCUUGAUGGCCACAAGGCCUGAGCAACGCCCUGCAUCACCUGCCGAGCUUGCUCAUGCAGUUGUGAGAGGUCUUGUAGUAAAUCGCCUAUAGAUAAGGGCAUCUCCUCCUCAGGGCGACCUGUUAACACUCCUACAAGUAAAAUCCUUUCAAUAUACUUCCACGCCGAACUAUACUACAGUUCGUCUAGGCACUUACCAUAAAUGCCGCGUCGAAGCCUUUUGUUGUCCUUCACGGAGUCCGCCAGCUAAGCGCGGACGUCUUUUAAUUACACGUCCAGCUGGACUUUGUCAUCUUGAAGAUUGUUCUUCUCCUGCCUAACUUGCGUAUGAACGUGCUCGCCAGCCUUUAGCUGCCUUUUGAGAUGUGACUCGUCAUCUCUUACGCCCUCCGGAUUCACCCCGAGAUUGUCUGCAGAAUUUUCUGUUAGACUCGUCAUGCCAGCCAUUUACUAACUGGCGCAUCUUCAUACAAUUGAGACAAAUGUUACAAGAUGAGGGCUUCUGGGAUUCCUCUAACUUGGCAACUGUGGCCCUCAGCUAGGCCUUGCACUCCUCCAUCUCCCGAGACAAUUGCUCAUUCUUAUCUACAAGGGCCUAUGCAUAAAUUGAUCCUUAAAACAGUUGUCCCAACCGUUUCAAGUCUCAGGGGCUACUGCUAUACAUGCUUAUCAAAUUUUCUUACCUGUAUAUCUUUGGUAUACUGGUCCGUCGCUCGGGCAAGCCCGCCUUGAGCAGCUCAGAUGUAUGCGUCUCCCGAAUUGAAGGCAUUAAAUGCCUCUUCGGAAAAUAUGUUGUUCCGAAGCACGGCCCGUCGGUGCCUGUGAUUCAUGGCACUCUCUACUUCGGAGUUCGUGGCCGACAGCAUAUCUGCGUCCUAUGUGAAAGAACUAUGCAGCAUCGGCCCCGCUUCCGCCUCCACUCUCAAAGCCGGUUCUGGAAUCCGGCUGGUGGAGGCGUGAUCGGCGGGAUCCCAGGAUGUAGUCCGGCUACUCCUCUUCCUGUCGGGACACAAAGGGCGUUGUUAUACUUCAAAUACAAUAAUCGCAGGACAUGUUUUUUCCUUACCUCUAUAGCGGCGUGUCGACCCUAACUGCCUUCCUCUUGAGCCUUCCCAAUCCGGACGCCCGUGGCCGACGGGUCCCUAGGGGCUUGGCCCCGUGUUCCGACCGUCAUCUCUGCAAAAACACGACACUUCAGGGGUAAGCCGUGACAUCUGAAAGGAGUCCUCUUCACAGGAUAGGGUUUUUGGCUUGGCCUACACGCGAUGUAGGUAGCAGUCCGGGAUAGUCGGCAAUAAUGGCCACUGAGGCGCCAUCACAACUCGCUUGAUAAAAUAUCCCGUUGACAAGCUCCAUGGCAAUAUCCGGAUCUUCUUCGAGUCCUGGAUCUAGGGCCCUUCUGGGGUCCUCUGGUUGCGGGGAGGGGCUGGAGAUUCCUUCUACGUCCCUCCUCAGCUCCUGCUCGGAAAUAUCAAAGCAGAUAAUCUUAGCAAAGAACGCCACAAUAAGUGAAGCGGGGAAAGGAAUAACGACUUAGCCUGUUUGGGGGGUUGUACAUCGAGAAUCCAUCACGCGGUUUAAUGUGAAGGAAUUCUUCCUCUUCUCCUUUAUAUAAAUCGGACAAUAUCCUUGCCAGAGCAGUGGCGGAGUCCGGACCCUUACGACCACAGCGGGUGACAUCAUCUUCCCCGUUGAAGUGCCACAUGGGCUUCCCCCGAUAUUGAAGCGGUUGCACUCCCCGCAUUAUGCAUAUUGCCAUAACCUCGACUAUCGUCAGUCCAGAUUUGGCCAGUAACUUUAUCCUGCUCAUCAGGAAGUGUAUUUCCCUAGUAUCCUCCUCUUGGGGGCCCCGGGGGCGCCAGCUUAGACGUGCCCUCGGCGGGGCAUUACUGAACUUGGGGAGACCUGUCCGGACUAGAUCCGGAAGGGGAACAUCGUCAAUAUAAAACCACUCUGAAGGCCAGUUCUCUGGUGCCUUCUAGGGAGUGCCGGAUGAGUAUCCGGUCUCAGCAAUACGCCAUACUUCGGCCCCGCCCACUUGACAUAGGGAUUCUCCUUGGUUGCAGGGGACAAGGCAGAAUAGCUUCUUCCAUAACCCUAAGGAGCCUCACAGCCUAGAAAUAACUCACAAAGGGCAACUACCCUACUAUGUGUAGUACGGAGGCAGAGGUAACGUUGUGCAACUGGAGGCCGUAGAACUCCAGGAGCCCACGAAGGAACGGGUGGAUGGGAAAUCCGACGCCCCUUAGCAGAUGAGGGAUGAGGCAUAUUCGCUCCUCUGGAGAUGGAUUGGGAGAUCCCUCCGCCUGUUCCCCGCCGUUAUAGGUGGCUAUUCCGGCUCGGACGGGGACCAUGAACGCCGGUGGGAGAAACCCUUGGGUUGUAACUCUAUCAAACGGCCAUGAGGAACUGAACACUCUUCCCAGUCCCCCGGUUUGGAGCGAGGAGAGCGAGCAGAAGAGCUGUGACGAUCGGCCAUGUUGGAAUGGUUUUUUCGGAGCGCUCUAUUGGAUGCAUGCUCGAGGGGGGAGAGUGAUGUUUUGAUCUGGGAAUCCCCGUCUCUUCAAAUAGAUAGUCAGCCCGAAGGAUUGAGGGUGGCAAAUGCAAAAAUGCCUUGGCUCCUCGCAUUCGCUCGACACGUGGAGAUGGUCAUUAUUGAGGCACUGAAGCCGAGGAGUACAACAUUGAUGGGAUGCCGGAAACUAUUCAUCAUAACAGGUACUUUGGAGUAUUCGGAGAUGGAACCCGCCUUGCAAUGCUGAAGACAAGACUGCGCGCUGUACUCAUCGUCAUUGAAGCCUGGUUCAGGGGCUACUAAGGGAGUCUUGGAUUAGGGGGUAUCCGGACAGCUGGACAAUAUACAUCGUCCGGACUAUUGGAGCGUGAAGAUACAAGACUCAAGACUCCGUCCCGUGUCCGGAUGGGACUCUCCUUUGCGUGGAAGGCAAGCUUGGAGAUCCGGAUAUUGUAUUUCCUUCCUUAUAACCGACUCCGUGUGAACCCUAGCCCUCUCCGGUGUCUAUAUAAACCGGAGAGGUUGGUCCUUAGAAGGCCGAUCACAAUUACAAUCAUAAUCAUCAUAGGCUAGCUUCUAGGGUUUAGCCUCAACGAUCUCGUGGUAGAUCUACUCUUGUACUACUCAUAUCUUCAAUAUUAAUUAAGCAGGAAGUAGGGUUUUACCUCCAUCGAUAGGGCCCGAACCUGGGUAAACAUUGUGUCCCUUGCUUCAUAUUACCAUCAGCCUAAGACGCACAGAUCGGGAUCCCCUACCCGAGAUCCGCCGGUUUUGACACCAACACCCCCCUCACCGAAAAUCCAGCCUCCAGCCCGGACAUCCAGAGGCGCCAUCCAGGGAGCACAGAAGGCUGCCCAGACAGCCGGGACAUCCGGUCAUCACCCCGGACAUCCGACGCCUCCCGAAGCCCCGGACAUCCAGCCCCUCUGCCCGGAAAUCCGGCGCCACCCAUCCAGAGAGCAGAACGGCCGUAUCCACCAGCCCGGACAUCCGGCCCCUCGCGAGCCACCGGACAUCCGGCCCGACGCCCGGACAUCCGGCCUUCCCUGUCUGCGAAUAGUGUAAGGGCAGAGGCCCGUGUACCCCCUUCGCCCCUAGACUAUAUAUACUCCAACCCCACCUACGUUUUAGGGUUAGCCUUGGUUUAGCUCGUUUGAGAUAGAGCAUUGCUCAUCCAUACCGGAUCUACUCCUUGUGAGGGACCGCACCUCUUCGGAGAAGAUCCAUCCGGAUUCGAGGACUCCAUCCGGAGAAGACAAUCAAGACCUCCUCACGGAGAAGAACGAUUACUCUUGUAUAGUCCCUUGUUGGCUUUGGAUCUCGUGUUACUUUGUGCCUCGAUGAUCUAGCACUUGUUUGAUCAAUUUCGCUUCGGUUAAUUGUUUCUCUUGUUUUUUUUGAAUAUAAACAGUAGGGUAAAACCCCACUGCAGCUUUUAUGAAAUUAAAUAAUCAAGGCAGAGAGUCUAGUCUCAAGGGCUUGAGAUAAGCACAAAAAAGAGAGGAAGAAAAAACAGAAAAAAAGAGAAACUAAUAAAAAACCCUACCCUAUCUCUAUAUUUACAAGAUUGAGUCUAACCAAACUGAAUAUUGAGGCAGUAAUUUAUUCUUCAUCCUGAAUUUCAAUAGCUUGAGCUCCUCCAGAAAGAUAUGCUUCCACCCCUGAAAAGAGGGGUUAAUAUGCUCACAGAUUUUGUUGUUUCUAGAGAUCCAAAUAGCCUAAGAACCCAAUAUAAUAAUCUCCAUGAAAUAAGGGAGGUGCAGAUUGUCCUUGAGGUCUUGAAAUGCUUCCAGCACAGAUAAAUUCCUGUCUCUGUUAGGGCAAAUUAAGUCCCAACAUUGUGCUGCAAGGGGGCAGCUCCAAAAAAGAUGAUGCAGUGUCUCCUCCUGAUGGCAAUACCUAACAGCACAAUGAUAAUCCUCAAGCUCAAAAUUCUUUCUUCUUAGUAGGUUCCUAGUGUUAACUCUAUCAUGCAGCAGUUGCCAGAAGAAAAUUUUGUGCUUUGGUUGACAUGAGAUCUUCCAAUUCCAAUUGUAGUGAGGUGGAGUUGGCUUAUAACCAAUUAACACCUUAUAAGCUUUGCUUGCAGAGUAUCUUUCAUUUCCCCAAAUAUAGCUCCAUGUAUCUUUCGACUGCAGAUAUUCUAAGUUUCUUAAUGAGAUGCAAAUAUCUUCCAUUUCAAGAAAUUCCUCAUAAGCUUGAGUUGUCAAUGGCAGGUGAAAUAAAUCUUGGAGAUACUCAGUAUGGAUAACUUGGCUUACAGUGAUAGAAGUGUCUCUGGCAAAAGUGAUUAGGUGGUGAAAUUUGUGCUUCAAGAUGAAAUCAUGCCAGCAGACAUCCCAGAACAGGGCAGUAAGACCAUCUCCCACAUUGCAUCUGGCAAUAGCCUUGUAAGGGUCAAUGAGAGCUAAAUUAGAUUUCCACCAAAAGGAACCCUCCCUACUGUCUCCUAGUAGGUUUCCAUUACUGUAGUAAGUCUCCCAAAUUAGGUUUACCCAAGGAAUAUCAUGUCUGUUAAAAAACUUAUGGAGGUUCUUCAUGAGCAAGGUCUUGUUGUGUGUAAAAAUAUCCAAGACACCAAGACCCCCUUGACUCUUGGGUCUACACACAGUUUUCCAGGCCACUAGUACAGGUCUCUUAUCCUCCAUAUCAGGGCUCCUCCACAAACAAUGUCUCAAGUACUUGAUGAUCUGUUGUUUUAUUGUAACGGGCACAUCCAAGCAGCACAUGAAAAAAAUAGUUAAAGAUGUCAGUACUGAUUUCACCAAAAGCAACCUUCCUGCUUGAGUCAUGAAUGUAGAAAGGCUAGCAAGUUUUUUUGCAAUUCUCUGCACUAGAGGUAGGCAUUGUUCCACAGUGGGUUUAUAAAUUCCCAGGGGCAGUCCCAAGUAUGUGAAAGGGAAGUGCCCUCUGGAGCAUUGCAAUGUAUUUGUGAAGAUUUCAACUCUUUAUUCUGUGAUGUUGAUGGGCACCAUGAUUGAUUUACCAUAAUUUACUUUUAAACCACUGGCAGAAGCAAAGGUAUUUAGGAGUGACUUGAGACAAACUAGCUCUCAAACAUUAGCUUUCAUGAGGACCAGUGUGUCAUCAGCAUACUGCACUAUUGGGAAGUGAGGACAAGAAUUUCUGUGUAGUGGGGGAGUUAUAAGUCCCAGUCUCAUUGCCUUAUUCAAGAUGGAUUGAAGCAGAUCAGCUGCCAGAACAAAUAUCAAAGGUGAAUAAGGAUCACCUUGUCUGACCCCUCUUUUGCAAUAAAAUUUCUUCCCAGGGACUCCAUUAAGCAUUACAGCUAAAGUUGCAGAUGUGAAAAUCAUAUUCAUCCAAGAGAUCCACUUCUCACCAAAACCUUUUGCUCUGAAUAUAUCAAUGAUUGCCUGAUGUUCAAUAGUAUCAAAAGAUUUUUCAAAAUCUAGCUUGACCACUAGCAUCUCCUCUCUUGAUUUGUGACACUAAUAGAUAUAUUCAUAAGCCCAGCCAAGACAAUCUUGUAUCAUUCUAUGUUUUAAAAACCCAUACUGAUUGAUAUGAACCAUUUGUAGAAUCACUUUCUGAAGUCUGCUGGCUAACAAUUUGGUGAUGAUUUUCAUAAUUCCAUUUAGCAAAGAAAUAGGUCUGAAGUCAUUAGGUGUGAGGGGUACCUCCUUUUUUGGAAUUAAGGUGAUGAAGGAGGUGUUGAUGCUCUCAAGAUUCACAGUGCCAGCAUGAAAAGCCAUUAUUAGUGCAGCAGUAUCCUCCUUAAUAAUGUCCCAGCAGGCUUUAAUGAAUUCAUUGUUGAAGCCAUCUGGACCUGGAGAUUUGUCAUUUGGCAAGUUUUUCACUACAUCAUCUAUCUCUUCUUGUGUGAAAGGUCUCUCCAGCUCUUGAAAAGUUUGAGGAUCAAUUUUGUGCUCAUAUAAGUCAUGUAGAUCAAAGUACAUAUUGUGGCCAUUGGACUGUCCAAGUCUUUUUCUGAAAGCCUCCCAAAGAAUAGGAGCUUUCCCCUCAUGGUCAGUGACUUCCAUCUGAUCCUCAUUCACCAGCAUUGCAAUCUUAUUGUGUCUAUGAUUUAUUGAAGCCUUAGUGUGAAAGAAUUUAGUGUUUUCAUCACCAAACUGAACUCUUUUAAUUUCCCCCCACUAUUUCCAGUAAAUCUUCUGAUUAUUAAGUACCACUAGCAAAUAUUCUUUUAGCAAAAUCCUGCAAUUUGCUUCAACCUGUGUUAGGUCUCUGUUCUCCUCAAUCAUGUCCCAAAGAAAGAUGCAAGCAUUUAGUUCUUCAAUUUGCUUUUUCAAACAAGAGAUGCUCUUGGCCCAGAGUUUGAGUGCUCUUCUCAAAUUUUUAAAUUUAGCAUUAACCCUCUUAGCAGGAUCAGUGAAACCCACUGGAAUAUUCCAGGCAGCUUGAACAAUUUCCUUAAAAGAGUUGUGCUUCAACCCAUAAUUUUCAAACCUGAAAACCUUAGACCUGGGAAUACUUGUUCCAAUUUUGAUCAUACAAGGGAUGUGAUUAGAGAUAGGUUUGGAUAGAUUAAGAGCAGUAGAAUCAAGGAAAGAUGUCAUCCAAGCAGCUGAUGUGAAAAUCCAAUCAAGCUUUCCCAAAAGUGGGCUAUCUUGCAUGUUACUCCAACUAAAUUGUCUACCUUUUAAGGGCAGCUCAACCAACCCAUGAUUACUGAUAGCCUCAUUGAACAACAACAUCUGAUUGAUAUCCCCUCCUGGUUUAUUUCUAUCCUCUGGAGAUCUUAUGAAGUUGAAAUCUGCCAUGAUUAUCCAUUCAGCCUCAUUAUCCAUUUGAAUAGAAUUUAACCAAUCAAUAAAUUCCAGCUUCUCCUCAUGAUUGCAAGGUCCAUAAAUAUUGGUAAGUAUCCAUGAGUGAUUAGAAGUAUUGCAUGUAAACUGAACUGUGAGAGAGAAUUUGUUUUGAAAGAGCAUUUCCCCAUUGAAGAGGGAUUCAUUCCAUGCAGUCAAAAUACCACCAGAAGCUCCAACUGAGGGUAGGAAUUCAAACUUAUUAUAUCUUUGUGGACAGAAGUUAUGAAUGUAAGCAAGAUCAAACACUUCUCUUUUAGUUUCCUGAAUACAAACAAUACGAGUAGCACUCUCCUCAAUUUUUUGUCUGAUGGCUAAGCACUUAUCUGAGGAAUUAAUACCCCUGACAUUCCAAUUCAGUAUGUUCCAAGAUCUGUUAUUAUUCAUUAACACUAAGAAUCAGAUUGAUUGUAAACACCAAGUACCAUCCCCUGGUGCCAAACCCUGUAUGAAAUAGGUACACAUGCACAACACCAACUGCAUAUCUCCACCUCACAAGAACAACACAAUCAUAGGCAUUGACACAAGCAAUUUCCAGGAUAAUCACAUUACAGUUGUCCCACAAAACCCUCCUCACAAAGUCUUGGUUACACACAUGAAAUUGAAAAGACCUCCCACUAGUAACCCAAAAGUGGUAGAGAGCAGCAUAACCAUAAGCAUUACAUCUGUGUUCAGAAUUAAGCACAACCAUCCUACACUAUCCAUGCUGAAAGAAAAAUAGGUGGAGAAGCUUUCUGAAUAGUAUGUAGGUGUGUUGUCCAAUCAUGGUUGCACAGCAUGAGGGUGUUCAGCAUCUCCAGUGGCCUUGGGAACCUUGGCCACCUCCUCCUUGUCCUUUUUCUUUAGUUUCUUGGACAACUUCUCAUGAGCUUCUUCCUCAGAUACCUUGUAGAAACUCUUUGUCAGAUUUUUGACAAUUUUAUUAGGAACUGUUGGAGGUAAAGCAUGACAUGGUAGGCAUGUUUUAGAAGCACAGGAAUUCCUCCUAUAACCAUUAUUAUCUCUUUUAAUACUGUCACUCCUUCUUACCUCUGUUUCCACCAAAGGUUCUUUGUCCUUUCUCUUCCUUCAAACUACCUCCACAAGAGGCAGGAUGAGGAUUUUAUUUGGGGACACCUGCUGCAGUGGGAUCCCAGUGCCAUUAGAAGAGUGUGCAGCUAGGCUUAUUCCCUCAUUUUCCUUGCCAGAGCCCUGCAUGAAGUCCUUGCAGCUAGGAGCCUGAGAAGUGGAGCAAGUAUCAGGAAUAUGAAAAGAGAUAGUUUCUUCAGUAGAACAGUUUGCAGUCAACAAAGUCCAGAGCUCUGAUUUGAGCAGCUUCGUAAUCCAACCAAACUUAUCAGGAGUUAAUAGGAGAUGUAUUAUGAAGUUGAACCAACUUAUAGGUAUAGCAAUCUUAAAUGUGUUAGAUUCCCCCUGGGUGGCUGGAGCAAAAUGUUGUAUCCAAAGGUCCAAACCUUCUUCACAGAUCAAAUGAGAACCAUCAAUAAUAUCCAUAGCAUGUGAUUGAACAAUAUUUUGCACAUCAAAAGAGUUUGGGGAACAAGGAGCAGAGUGAGGACCAAAAGUACCUUUCUUACUAACAUCAGAAGGCUCCACCAUUACAUUUCCCUUUCCUUUAACAGCAGCCACCUCCACUUCAUUCCUUGAAAUCAUACUCUUAGUGCACUUUACUAUAAUAUUAUCUCUCUCACUAUCUGCAGCUCCUUCGAAAGCACUGUCAACUGCAGCAGAACUGCCAACAACCAGGAUAUUCUUACUUGCAACAUUCUCAGCAACCUGCAUAGAUACUUGAUUAACAGCUUGUGGUUGGGCCUCGGGAGCAAUCUGGUCCUGCAGGAUAAGAAGAGGGCCCUGCAGUUCCAAUGGCUGGGGUCCAGGAGCUGACAUUUCCUCCACCCUGGCCUCCUGGAUUGGCUCAGCCUCCUCUGGGUCUUCCUGGUAAGCUAGUGCAAUAUUAUUUAAUCCCAUGCCAAAUUGUGGUGCCUGAGCACCCUGGUUUACCUCCUCACUAGCAGAAUGUGUAAGAGAAAGCAGUCCAUCAGACAAAAAAACUGUUCUUGUGAUGCCACUAUGGGGAGCACCAUCUUCAGGAAGAAUAGGUAUCUCCAACUGUUGCUGCAUAGGUGCAGGAGGGUUUUGUUGUGGAAAAGCCCAGUGAUCAUUCUCCUCUUGCUCAUCCCACUAUCCCACUCAUCAUUGUUGUCAUGAUCAUUUUGCACAAGUAAAGGCUGGAACCCAGGGAAGUCAUUAGCAUGCUGUGGCACUGGAUGUGGGUCCACCCCACGAGGAGGAUUGGAUCCUCAUCAGCAGGUCCACCUCCUAGCAUUUCCUCCCACAGAACUUCAACAGAACAGGUCCAAGAUUCCUCCUCAAAACUUUCACCUUCAGACCAUCUGAUACUUUUGGGUACAUCCAUGAGCUCAGUGACUCUAGCCUUGACCAAAACCAUUCCCCUAAGAGCAUCUUCUUUUUCCUAGCUAAUGAUCCUGCCCCAUUUGGAAAUGGCGGCAGCAAUAUCAUCUGUGUUACAAUAGUCAAAAGGCACACCCACAAAUAGCAACCAACAGAUUCUAUUAAGAUGGACUCUACGCCAGUUUGUGCCUUGAUUAUGGGGAGUAAAAGUGAGAAAAAAAUCCCCAAACUGAUGAGGACUCUGCCUGACCAAUCUGUCCCUGUCCCUGACAUGCCUGAACUGAAUAUACGCUUCCCCAAAAGGACAGGGAUGAAUCUCUCUAAACUGAACUUCUUCAACCUCUUGAAAAAACUCCUCAAGAACAUCUCGAACAUUAGGUAAGAAUACCUCAUUAGGAUGUGGGUGUAUAGUGACAAUCGCCCAAUCUUCGUGCCGACGCGGGUGGUGCGGCAAUACCACCCAAGAAACCCCAUUGCGCCCCUCCACUAGCAGUAUCUGAAAGCCUUGCGGGACAAACGGGGCUGGAUCAAUGGGGAUGUUAGCCAUUGUUGUCUCUGUCGACACGCAGAGCCUCAAAGGCCUCCCCAGAGAAGAUGAAGUUGGCGAGCUUGACGAGGUUGCAGCAGAGCUGGUAGGUGAGGGGGAAUGCGAGGAGGCAAGUAGGGGUCUUGGCUGAAAAUUUGGAAAAAGGUCCUUGACUAGCUCCUGAAAUGUCGAGACUUUCCUUAACGGUAAUGCUGGCCCAUUGAGGCGAAACCAAGAUUCCACCUGGCCGUCGGCCCAGGCCUGCUCCGGAGGACAUGGGAAAGAGAAAAAAGGAAUAAAAUCCCAAAGCCCAGGAAGAUUGGGCCUAGUGCAAUUACGCGCGUAAUGCCCCUACUCCCCGCAUGCAUAGCAUGAGACAUGCAUAUUGGUACGUUGCCUUUGGGCAAUAACUUGGAGCUCAUUACGCUCUCCAUCAUUAUGACUCGAAGCAAUGGCCAUCAUACCCCCCCUGAUCAUUCCCCUCAUGAAUGCGGCCUGAUAAACGCUUAAACACUGAUCUGGUAUUCCGGCUAGCCGGAGCCUCAGUCCGGCGAUCGCUGGAGUUUGGUUGAACAGCUUUACCAUGCCUACCCACUAACGUCCAUUCUUGAUCAAGCUCAGCAUAAAAAGCUCUCUCUUCUCUAAGCCAAUUUGGACCACCAUAAUUCCAGAGAUUAAAAACCAUUUCAAACUCUUUCUCAACCACUUUACCCGCAUUAUAAAUCUCAAAACCCACUGAUUUGGAAGCAACUGAAAACUUGAACGAUCUAUCUUUGAGGUGACGGGCCCUAAAACCUUGAGCAUAUCCACCAAACAUAGCAUGGAGGGAAACACUAACCGUGUGAGGAUCAAGUUUGAACGUAGCUCUGCAAAAGGAAACCACCACCAUGAACUCUCAUUGACAAAACCCCGGUGAGAAAACCAUCGGGUACCCAAACUUCUGCCUCAUGUCCGCUUGGAAUUUCUUACCCUGAUCAAAGUUGAUGGCAAAAGGUGCCAUGGUGUGUCUGUUGGGGCCGGAGUGGCACACCACAGGAAGAGGUGCCUACCGGGGCCGGGGUGGCCACCGGCAAGGGAGAAGGUGGUGGACCAUUUCUCUUGUUUUCCCUCAUGUUCUUCCACGCGUUCUUCGUGUUCCCCGUAGGGAUCCUCUCCAAACAUGAAAGAUCGGCCCCUAGGGUACUGCCCUACAUCAGAUCAUAAGAUCAUUCAUGCUAGAAACUUCUGUGUGUAGCCACAAGCUAUUAUGGGCUCUAACAUAGUUGAGUAUGUUGCAUGACCUCUUUUAGUGGUAGGCUAGCAGAUGUAGGGGAUGUAGGUUGGUACUGUCUACCCAGAGUAAAGAGUUAAUGCUUCUGAAAGACUGUGUCUCGGUCAUCUGUUUCUCAAACAUCAUGUAGUGCGAGAAAUCCAAUGGAGGAGAUCGAGUCUUGUGGGGAGAAGUGCGCAAACCUCUGUAGAGUGUACAAACUAAUCAUGGUUAGCCAUGUUCCCGGUUAUGGACAUUUUGAGUAUCUAGUUCUUGGAUUAUCAUGUUGAUCUCAUCACUCUAUAAUUAAAUUGUUGGGUUGUUAAUAAUUACUUCUAAUUGGGAUUGAGAGGGGGAUUACCUUCUCAAUGUUUUCAACAAACUUUGUAGUUAAAUAAAAUAUAUUCUUUUGCAGUAGGGAAAAAUUGGCUUUUUGCAAAAACAUUAUAACCAUAGAGCUUUUCCACCAGCCAUAUAUGCAUGUAGUGAUAGUUAUUAUUCAUCAUUAUCCUGUGGUGUGAAUUUGCCAGUACAUUCAAUGUACUGACCUACAUGGCUGCAACCUCUCAUGUUGCAGGAUUUCCUUACGACGAGUAAGUGACACAUUAGGGUUACAAUUUCUACACUCAACUUUGCCGUUGGUGUUGAUGGGAACCCACCACCUUGUUGUUUCUUCCGCUUUAUGGAUUGAGGUAAUAGUAUUUACGUUACUUUAUACAUGUGAAUUACCUCUGUUAUAAAUCCUCGAGUACUGUGUGUGUCAGCAUACCGAUCUAGGGAUGACACUUAAGCACACAGACUUGACCGUCUGAGGUCGGGUCACUACAAGAUGGUAUCAGAGCACAUGUUGACUGUAGGACGUGACCCUAGAAACUGGCAAGCCAAUAGGAAGAUUUAUUCUCUACAACUUUCUUUUCAAUAAGAUCUUUUACCUCUCUUCUCUUUUGAGCUUAUUCAAAUUUUCCCUUUUUAGUGAGACUAUACCCCUUUCCCCUUUUUGACCAUGAAGAUUCAACUGAUGAGACCACUCCAAGAAGGACAAGAUAUCGGACAACAAAGACCACUUCGGAAUGAAGAGUAUUUUACCAAGCAUUUGUUAUAAUUACAAUAGUUGAAGACUCCGAAGACUAGGAGAAUUUGAAGGCCCUGUAGAAUUUUUCCAGAUUUGUAUGACCUAGGAAGGCACCCCUUAUGGAACAUGGCAGACUAUGGAAGUUGUGAAUACCUGAGAUCAAGGUGUAUCAGAGAAAGACCGGAACAUGGAGCAUUAGAACUCAAAGUUUUGUCAAGAAAACCCUAAGGCAGGAGAUAUCGACUAUGGAAUGAUAGCUCAUGGAAAUGACAAGAGCAGAAACAUGGACAUUCAUGAUGUUAUUGUCCGCCUAUGCUAUUGUCACCACACUGAGUUAAGCAUGCAUAUGCAUGGAAGGAUUGGAUGGUAGAAGGCUGAUGGAGGAUCUGUCAGCAAAGGAUGCAGUUUAACGUAGCUGGUGUAUCACCAGGAUCUGGAGUAUUACAUCAAGAAGUUUAGGGUGGAUCUGCAGGAAGCCGUAUUUGACAAGGAAGUAGUUCGUGAAGGACUCAGGACCCAGAAGAUUGAAAUAGCCAAGCUGGAGGAGCAAAACCUUGAGAUACCGGAGAUUUAUCAGGAACUAAAGGACAGUAUAACCAUGGCUCAUGACAAAGAUGUUGAAACCCAGAAGCUUGGAGCACAACUCCAGAAGUAUUACAGGACGUCGCGAGAGACUUCGUGUCGACAGAAAUGACCUGGUAGAAAGAACUUGAGAAGGACAAGAACAAUCGGAAGAAGCCCAUUGGAAACAUGGACUGGAAGAGCUUGGUGACUUUGAAGAUUUAUUGACCUUUAGAGGACCAAACCCCUGUUAUAUACUUACUUUAGAUGUGACGAUUGUGAGCUGUCAUUUGUUUGUAGUUUUUCCGACAGCCACAAUAAAAAUCUAUCUUUUCAAAAUAUUAUUAGUAUUGUGUGUAUCCCUCCCUAUCUCUCUUAUCUCACCCCAAAACCCAUGGACCCAAUAAAGGAUGAAUGGAGAUGGAAGAGUAUUUCCGAGAUUCCUGACACAACCGGAGGUAGCACACUGGAUACAGAACAUGGAAGAUCGCAUGAAGGAGCACGGUAUUGAAGGAGAGUAUAUGGUUCCAUACACCCUACGAAAGAUCACACAAGGUGCUGCAAAAUGGCGAGAGAUACAUCAAACCAUACAAGGAUGGAAUGGAACAAAUGUUUGGGAUGAAUUUAAGACCAUUCUACUGAGGUUCCGUCUUACCUGAAAGCUAGGUGAACCUAAAGAGAAGAAGCCUUGUGCAUGUAAGAUUUGUGGAGAAAUGGGACACACCCAUAAAGAACACAAGGGUGAAUGCCCUAAUUGUGAAGGAAGUCACCCAACUGAAGGAUGCCCAACUAGGCAGAUCACUUGUUUCUUGUGUGAAGGGACUACCCACUACCCUGCACAAUGUCACCUUUACCCCAUGGUACAAAUGACCCUCCAGCAGAAGAAAGAAGCAAUUGAAGGAGCCCUUAUGGAAAUUUUAGAAGAACCUGUGAUGAAGGAAGAGGUGGAGGACACACCCGAAGGGGACCCAGUUAAACCCUGCACUAAGUCUUGCUAUUCGUGUGGAGAAGAAGGACACUUUUCCCAGAAUUGUGUGAAGGAACAUCUAGUAGCAUUCCCGACAGAAGAAGUAGAGUAUGACCCACAAGAAAUAGAAGCCCUGAUUGGAACAGAAAAGUCCAGGAAGAGAAAUAGAUUGGAUUCAAUUUCUGCAGAGAAGGAUCUGAGUCAUAUCACCUGUUACAGGUGCAAGGAUUUAGGUCAUUACGCCUAUAAAUGUCCAAAGAAGAAAUACGCCGAUAAAUGUCGAAAGAGGAAGCCAAGAGCCCAAAGGGUGGACACCAUCCCCAAGAAGCCUAAAGACUUAUCGGAAGUUAUUUGUUUACGCUGCAGGGAAAUAGGACACUAUGCUAAUAAAUGUCCCAACAAGAUGAAAGCUGGAGCUAAGUAGUUGAGAAUUUAAUAUUGGUAAUAAGUGUGGUAGAAAGCAUUUUUUUCUUCUUGGGGAUAUGGAGUGAGUUAUGGAAUGGAAGUUUGGGAUAUUGUAAUGAAUUCAUGAAAUCAAUAAAGUACUUGUGUCAUGAUUUCAUAUGCUGAAUCUUUAUGAGUUGUUACUCUAUGAAGAAAUAUCUUGACCAUUUUCGAGGAUAUGAGAAAUAUGGUCUACGGAUGAAUUGGAGCAUUUUAAGGGUGGUAGUACCCUGUGAGGAGAUUUGACCCCUGGAAAGGAUAAUGAUAUUCCACGGAGUGGACUUCGGACAAAGUAAGUAUGAGUUUUAUGUUGAUAUGUGGGAUACCCCGAGAAUAUGAAUGAUGAAGUAUUAUGGGAUAUAAAGGAGAUAUAAGGUUGGUAAUAUGGAGCAAUUGUAACUCCAUGAUGAGUUUGAGUAAUCACUUCUUAGUUUGGUACCAGUAGAAGGAAGGGAGACGGUACAAUUGGAUGGGUUUAAGAAAUGCUAGGAAGUUGGAUGUUGGAAAUAUGGCCAGUUGCCCCAAGGAUGAGUUCAAGGUUUACAAGUGAUGAGAUGGGACAUAACCCACAGGCCCCAGGACCUGCCAAGAAGCAAGCACAUUCUUGCUGAAGGAAAAACCUUGGAAGAAGUUACGCUUUUAUUGACAGACGAUCUUAUAGGAGUUACGGAAAAACAUGAGCGAUGUGAAGAAACGAUAGAUGUUUGUUUGGCUUGCAGAAUCAAUGGAUUUAUCUGAACUUGGUUCAUCGACAAGAGAAAGUCUGCAAUGCUUGUGAGGAUGACCGAGUGUUAGAAUGUGAGAUUCGCUAAACCAUAUACAAGAUAAUGAUUUGGGUGCGGGAUGGAUUGAUCACCAUACCAACUUACUCUUAUUAUUCGUCUUGUUAUAUGGGAUGGUAAAUCUGAGUGACUUACCUAUAGUAGAGAGACGACGAUCAAAACCUUGUUUGAACCUUAGAAUGUUAUGACGUUUUUUCCCUUGUACAAGGCAGUUGUUGACAAUCGUAGGACAUACGGUGAGGUUCAAGCCAGAUCUAUUUCCUGCAGGAGAAACCAUAAAUUGCUGACCACCAUGAGAUACCGAUAGUUGAUAAGUAUUGGCGCCAGACCCGUCUGCUAAGAAGACCCAGUCUCGGAAUAACCUUACCCAGAUAAGAAGACAGAAGAAUUGAGGAAAAGGUUAUGCCACUACCGGAAGAGCCCAGAGAAGGAAUUUUCCCGAGAUUUGAGAAGUCCGACACUGUCAAAAGAUAAGGAUGAAGUAUAAGAGUUUUGAUGGAACCGUAUCAAUGCUUCUAAGGGUGGUAGCACCCCAGACCCCCUAUGAUGAUCGAUGGAUUUUGAGAAGACCCCCAAACCUAACCUAUUUCUUUCUAGCCUCUCCGAAUCUCGAGGACGAGAUUCAUUUUAAGGGUGGUAGGUUUGUAACAUCCCAAAAUUCUAAAUUUUGGAAUGUUAUAAUAAAUAGAUAGUUUUGAUUGAUUGUAUGAUUGCUUGCGUGAAAUUGAGUGAAAUUCGAAACUUUUUUGAAAGUUAAAUGAGAGGGAAUAAAAGGACUUUCCCAAACUUUCAUUUUUCAUUUAUGGUCUCCAUGAAUUCAAAUUCAUUCCAUCAUAAAACCCUAGAGAGAAGAUGACAUGACUUCUUCCAUUUAACUACAUGAAAAAAAGGGUUUUGAAAAGAUUUGAAUUUCAUUCAGAAAUAUUUUUCCAAUUCAUAAACUUCAUGCAACUCAAUGAUUUUCAUAAGAGAAGAUAAAAUGACUUCUUCAAACAUAUGAAAUAUGAGUUGGAAGUUUCUAAGAUUUUCAAAUUAAAAAGCCCUUUUGAAACUAUUUUCAAUUUGGGGUUAUUUGGAUUUUAUUCAAAUUAUUUUUCUCCAAAAUAAAAAUAUAUGGAAAAAUAGGGUAACAUGAUUCCGUACAUCAUAAAAUUGGAGAUAAAUAAAUUUGAAAUCAUUUUGUUUUUUUAAAUGAUUUUUUAUUGGAUUUUAGCAGGGCAGUAUCACUCCUUAAAUUAUUUGAAUUAUUUCUCGAUUUUAUUUGUCUAGACAAAAAUGUCCAUAGUGUAGAAAAUCUCGAUUCAUAUUACUCAAACUCAUUUUUUCGGUGAGGGAAGUGCGAAUUGAUUUGGUACGUACAUUAUUACAGGUUAGGCAUGUCCCUUAAAUUCAAUUGGCGCCUUGUUAUCCCGAAAAUUCAGAUAUUGUGCUCUCAAAACUCGCGCCUUCACAACCCGCACCUUGCUAUUCCGAAAAUACAAUGUGCGGGAAAACUCCCUCCAGCUGCCAAAUCCCGACACGCGAAAUCCCCCUUCUAACCCUGUGCCAGUAGGGCCGCUAGAUCAAAUCAGUGGGGGUGCUUUUGUAACACACCCUACAUUUUGUACAAGUGCAUCCCUAAGUCAUAGUUCCCCCCUCCCAUCACUUCCUUUUCACCAUUUGAAAUCCCCAUUCGAAAUCAUAGGCCGCCAUAACCUCUCUGCUCCAGCCGCGAAACCCCACCCUCCUCUAUCCGCCACCCCACCACGGCCCAGCUAGAGCCUCUUCCCUGACGACGUCGUCCAGCACAAGAGCUCGAUGUCCCUCAUCCACCGCCCCGGAUGAGGAUCCAUCGUCGAUCUCGUCGUCCCGCCGGUUCAGCCGCCCCAUCCUCCACCUCCAAGGAGCUACUCCAACGAUCUCCUUGUCUAGCGCGGCUGCUCCAUCCCCACAACGCCACCUUAACCUGCUCCACCGGAACUACAACAUCCUCACCGAAUCCUCGGACGAAGCUGAGGUCUACUCGGCGCCACCAAAGAGGUUGUACACUCAUCGCAUCGCACCUUCUCCUUAAAUUGGCAUCCCGGCGCCAUCGGUUCUCGAUCCCGCUCCCCCAUGGCACGGCUACCCCAUAGUUGGCGCCACCGACGACAUCUCCACGGUGUCUCUCCCCCAGUGCGAGGCUCCCUCGGCGGCGGCGGCCAUACCAACCGGAGCUGGUCUAGCUGCUCCGCCUCUCGCUCGUUCACGCUGCUGCUGCUCCAUCUCUCGCUCGGUCGCGCUGCUGCUCUGCUCUCCCCCUCGCUCGUGCUGCUGCUCUGCUCUUACUCUCGCUUACACUGCUGGCUAGUACAUGGGCUGCUGCAGCUACACGAGUUGCUGCUCUGGCUCUAGUUUGUGCUCCUCCUCCAAGCAUUGCUACUCUGGCUGCUAUCUGCUAUUGUGUUCCCCAUCGAUCAUCUGCUGAUUUAGAUCAUUGUUUCUCUACUACUAGUGCUCGAGCCGCCUAAACUACAUGUGAAGUGCCUCUUUGAUACCAGUGCGUUUAGUUUCGACUGUAACAUUCAGAUUUCAUAGUAAAUUUCAGUUUCGAUAGCUAAGUUCAGAGUCAACGGUUUUUACCUCAUCUGUUGUAGUCAGGUGUCUUUUCGUGAUGUAAAUUUUACAUCUAUCCUUUUUGGUAAUGUAUUUUACAUCACCUAUUGGAGAUGCUAUUAGAAUCCCACUUGAGAUUACUGAUGUCUAUCUCGUACUGCAUCAUCCUCGAUGUCUUAUGGCUCGCCAGAGCUGCUCCAAUGAUGGAACCAUCCGUCACAACAGAGCAGUGCAUUGGACGCCAUCUACAGAUGCCUCAGAUCUUCCUCCACACCUCCGACAGCCACCUCUACCGCAACUUCUUCAGCGAUCAACCCAAUGAUGCUGAGUUCGACACGGCUACACCAAAGAGUUGUACACUUGUCUCAUCACUUAUUACUCUACAUUUAUGUAGACCCAUUAGGGCUAUUUUGGUUCAAAGGAAAAAGUGAAGGAAAAACAUAGCAAUAGGAAAUUUUCCUAUGGCACUCUACUAUUCAAUUAUUCAUGCAUUUCGUUGAAAGGAAUGGAGAAUAACAUCCACCUGGACCUACUUUUCAAAAUCCUAUGCAUGAAACAAGACUAAGUGCAUUAGUGGUAGAGUAACAUUCUAACUGUACACACUUUCAUAUGGUUUCACUUUAAUUUGGCCAUGUUUCUUUAAAUUCCUCUGCUCAUCCAAUUCAUGUGAACCAAACACCCAAGUUGAUAGCAAUCCUGUGUUUACAAAUGCUCUGUUUCCCACGUGCAUGCCUAUCCUAUUCCAGUGUUUUUCCUAUCCCUAUGUUUUUAGAAUCAAGCAAGCCAAAUGAGCCCUUAUAGAAUUACUUCAGUUAUAGAUAGGUGUCAAAGAAAAAUUUGUGUGGUUUGUCCUGCUCCUGUAGCGAUGUAGUCCACCUCACCUGAGCUACUCCAUUGAUAGAAGCAUCCACCAUGUUUCACUGCCUCGGAUCUCCUUCCCUGCCGCCGGCACCCACCGUAACUACUUCACCAUCAUCGACUCAGCAGAUGAACCUGAGGAGUACACGGGUCCACAAGAGAGGUCACACUCUUUUGUUUCUGCUUAUGUUAUGCAUUGCUUAAUAUUACCUGCUACUCUAUCGUCCUGUUCACCUCUUAGACUCCAAGUUAGGUCCAAAUUAAUGUUCAAACUUGAGUUUAAAAUUACUUGUGGGGCACAUAUCAAGGCAGCAAUGAAUAGUAUCUCUGUCUAUUAUCUGGUUCACCUAGGGUAUGCAUAUGUUGUUCAUCUUGGGUGGGAAACAAAUAGUAAACCAAUCAUGAUCUGUCUUUUUAUUAAAUUAAAGCUACCAUCAUCCUGCUAUCAUUAUUUUUGGAUCCAUCUACUGGUUGUUACAACCACUCUAGAUUUCUGCAUGCUCUCCUUACAUAAUCUCACUAUAUUUUUUCAUAUGCAUGUCAGAUAUUGUACACAGUCAUGUUGAACAUGUAGAGAAAAAUAGAAGAGUUUUGCGUGGCAGUAUAAUGUCAUGCAGACAUUGCUCCAUGGUGGGUUCAGUGUCAAACCCUCCCCCUCUACAGAUUGUCAUCCAUAGGAAGAUAUCUAUUCUGAGGCGGAUUCAGACACAGCUGACCACUUCUAUUUACCCCAAGGUGUUCGCUCUAACUUGGCAUGAUGAUGUUGGUCAUAUCAUGCAUAUGUUGCCUUGCAGUGCCUACUUUCGACAUCAUAUAUGUCAUCUGCUUAGCUUAGACAUGUUCUGUACUGCCACCUAUUUAGUUUCUAUAUCAUAUAUGAGAAUUAUGCAGUCUCAUCUCCUUUAGCCAGCCAUAAUAUAUGUGAAAUAUGCAAUGCCAUCCUGUUUAACCAGGCAUCAUAUAUUUGAAUGAUAUCUUGCCAAUCCUUUUCUUCAUUAAAUUUCUAUUUGUCCACAAUGUUUGUACAUUAAACUACUCUUCCUGUGAAUCAGCCAUUUGAGUGGGUGAUGGAAAAUUUUGGAGUGAAAACAAGGUCUUUAGAGCAGACAGUGCUACUUGUCGAAGCAGAUCUCUUGCUGGAUCCUGAUAGCUCCUCAUAGAUGGAUUCAGAGAUGGAUGACCAGUCCUAUUCCCCCACUGAGGUGUAUGCUCUAACUUGGCACGGUUAUACUGCUCAUCUCAUGCAUAUGGUGUCUUCCAUUGCAUAGUUUAGACAUCAUAUACACAAUAUUCAACACCAAUUUUCUUAGUUCAGACAUCAUAUAUGCGAAUGCCCUCGGCUUAGUAUAUAAAUCACAUAUGUGAAUUAUAUCAUGCGAUCAUGAUUACUUAGAUAACAUUGUAUGUGAAUUAUGUCAUGUGAACCUGUUUACUAAAGACAUCAUAUGAUUAUCUCAUGCAAUCCUAUUUAGUUAGUCACCAUAUCUUUGAAUUAUGUCAUGCUAUGCUAUCUAGUUUAGAUAUACAUUAUAUAUGUGAAAUUAUGUCAUGCUUUCCUUUUUAGUUAAACAAUAUACAUGUGAACUAUUUCAUGCCCUCUUUUUUCCACACUAUUUAUUGCAUCUGUCUCUCAUACAAGGUUUGUACAUUCAACUAUAUUUCCUAUUUAUCAGCCAUUUGAAUUGGAGCGGGUGAUGGCAGUAUCUAGCAGAGUAAAAACACGGUCUUCAAAUAAAAUAUUGCUACCUCUUGGUGGAGAUAGCACCCCAGUUGUAUAUGCACGAGAACCAGCCCUACCACACAUAACCCAGACUCUUGUAGAUUGUACCCCUACUACUUUGGACAGAAACCCAGCUUCACCCAAUCUAACCCCAACCCCAACAGAUAGUAACCCAGUUCCUGUUGACACCGCAUGCUACUUCUUGAGCUUGCGUUGGUUUUUCCCUUGAAGAGGAAAGGGUGAUGCAGCAAAGUAGAGAUAACUAUUUCCUUCAGUUUGAGAACCAAGGUAUCAAUCCAGUAGGAGAAGAACACACAAAUCACCAAUACCUGCACAAACAAUCAAACAACUUCCACCGAACGCGAUAAAGGUGUUGCUAAUCCCUUCACGGUUGCUUGUGAAAGUUAGAAUCUGAUAGAGAUAGAUCAACAAAAGAUAAAAUAUUUUUGGGUUUUUUUGGUUUAUAGAUCUGAAAAUAAAAGAUAGCAAAAUAGUAGAUCAAAAACUAAUAUGAUGGAAAAUAGUAGAUUGGAAACUAAUAUGAUGGAAAAUAGAAGAUGGGAAACUAAUAUGAUGGAAAAUAGACCCAGGGACCAUAGCUUUCACUGGAGGCUUCUCUCAUGAAGGCACAUAAUACAGUGGGUGAACAAAUUACUGUCGAGCAAUUGAUAAAAAAGUGAAAAGUUAUGAUGACAUCCAAGGCAAUGAUUAUGCAAUAUAGGCAUCAUGUAUGUAUCAAGUAGACCAACUCCUGCCUGCAUCUACUAGUAUUACUCCACACAUCGACUGACUCUUGCUUGCAUCUAGAGUAUUAAGUUCAUAAAGAAUAGAGUGACGCAUUAAGUAAGAUGAGAUGAUGUAGAGGAAUAAACUCAAGCAAUAUGAUGUAAACCCCAUCUUUUUAUCCUCGAUUGCAACAAUACAAUACGUGCCUCGCUACCCCUACUACGUCACUGGGUGAGGACACCGCAAGUUUCAACCAAAAGUUAAGCACCUCUCCCAGUGCAAGAAAAACAAAUCUAGUUGGCCAAACCAAACCGAUAAUUCAAUGAGAAAUACAAAGAUACCAAAUCAUGCAUAUAAGAAUUUAGAGGAGAUUCAAAUAAUAUUCAUUGAUAAGCUGAUCGUAAAUCCACAAUUCAUCGGAUCUCCACAAACACACCGCAAAAAGGUAUUACAUCGGAUAGAUCUCCAAGAACAUCAAGGAGAACAUGGUAUUAAGAAUCAAAGAGAGAGAAGAAUCCAUCUAGCUACUAACUAUGGACCCAUAGGUCUGUGGUGGACUACGCACGCUUCAUCAGAAGGGUAAUAGAGUAGACGUAGAUGCCCUCCAUGAUUGAAUCCCCUUCGACUGGAUUCCGGAAAAGGCCCCUAGAUGGGAUCUCACGAGAAUAGAAGGUUGCAGCGGUGGAAAGUGUUUUCGUGGAUUCUUCUGAGGGUUUGGGAAUAUAUUGCAAAUAUAUAGGAGGAAGAUCUAGGUCAGGGGGUCACCGAGGGGCCCACAAGGUAGGGGGCACGCCCUACCCCCUGGGCGCGCCCUCCACCCUUGUUGCCGCCUCAUGGCUCUUCUGACUUGCACUCCAAGUCUCCUGGGUGUCUUCUGCUAUAAGAAAAAUCAUCGUGAAGUUUUAUUCCAUUUGGACUCCGUUUAGUAUUCCUUUUCUGCGAAGCUCAAAAACAAGGAAAAACAAAAACUGACAUUGGGCUCUAGGUUAAUAGGUUAGUCCCAAAAAUAAUAUAAAAUAGCAUAUUAAUGCAUAUAAAACGUCCAAAACAAAUAAUAUAAUAGCAUGGAACAAUAAAAAAUUAUAGAUAUGUUGGAGACAUAUCAAGAAUCCCGAAGCUUAAUUCCUGCUCGUCCUCGAGUAGGUAAAUGAUAAAAAUAGAAUUUUUCAUGUGGAAUGCUACCUAACAUAUUUAUCAAUGUAAUUUUCUUCAUUGUCGCAUGAAUGUUCAGAUCCAUAAGAUUAAGAACAAAAGUUUAAUAUUGACAUAAAAACAGUAAUACUUCAAGCAUACUCAUAAAGAAAUUUAAUUUUUUCUCAAAAUAACAUGGCCAAAGAAAGGUAUCCCUACAAAAUCCUAUAGUCUGGCUAUGCUUCAUCUACAUCACACAAAAUAUUCAAAUCAUGCACAACCCCGAUGACAAGCCAAGCAAUUGUUUCAUACUUUUAGUGUUCUCAAACUUUUUCAACUUUCACGCAAUACAUCAGCGUGAGCGAUGGACAUAGCACUAUAGGUGGAACAGAAUAUGGUGGUUGUGGAGAAGACAAAAAAAGGAGAUAGUCGCACAUCAACUAUGCAUACCAACGGGCUAUGGAGAUUCCCAUCAAUAGAUAUCAAUGUGAGUGAGUAGGAAUUGCCAUGCAAUGGAUGCACCGGAGCUAUAAGUUUAUGAAAGCUCAAAAAGAAACUAAGUGGGUGUGCAUCCAACUCGCUUGCUCACGAAGACCUGGGGCAAUUGAGGAAGCCCCUCAUUGGAAUAUACAAGCCAAGUUCUAUGAUGAAAAAUUCCCACUAUUAUAUGAAAUUGACAAAAUAGGAGACUCUCUAUCAUGAAGACCAUGGUGCUACCAUGAAGCACAACUGUGGAAAAAGGAUAGUAACAUUGCCCCUUUUUUCUUGUUCUCUCUCUCUUUUUUGUGUGGGCUUCUUUGGCCUCUUUUUUUCUUUUAUUUUUCAUCCCGAGUCUCAUUCCAACUUGUGGGGGAAUCAUAGUCUCCAUCAUCCUUUCCUCACAUGGGAUAAUGCUCUAAUAAUGAUGAUCAUCACACUUUUAUUUACUUACAACUCAAGAAUUAAAACUCGAUACUUAGAACAAAAUAUGACUCUAUAUGAAUGCCUCUGGUGGUGUACCGGGAUGUGCACUGACUCAAGAGUGCCAUGUAUGAAAAUUAUGAACGCUGGCUUUGCCACAAAUACUAUGUCAACUACAUGAUCAUACAAAGCAAUAUGACAAUGAUGAAGUGUGUCAUAAUAAACGGAAUGGUGGAAUGUUGCAUGGCAAUAUAUCUCGGAAUGGAUAUGGAAAUGCCAUAAUAGGUAGGUAUGGUGGCUAUUUUGACAAAGGUAUAUCGUGGGUGUAUGGUACCGGCAAAAGUUGUGCAGUACUAGAGAGGCUAGCAAUGGUGGAAGGGUGAGAGUGCAUGUAAUCCAUGGACUCAACAUUAAUCAUAAAGAACUCACAUACUUAUUGCAAAAAUCUAUUAGUCAUAGAAACAAAGUACUACGCGCAUGCUCCUAUGGGGAUAGAUUGGUAGCAAAAUACCAUCGCUCGUCCCCGACUGCCACUCAUAAGGAAGACAACCAAUAAAUAAAUCAUGCUCCGACUUCAUCACAUAAUGGUUCACCAUACGUGCAUGCUACGGGAAUCACAAACUUUAACACAAGUAUUUCUACAAUCCACAAUUCACUAUCAUGACUCUAAUAUCACCAUCCUCAUAUCUCAAAACAAUCAUAAGGAAUCAAACUUCUCAUAGUAUUCAAUGCACUUUAUAUGAAAGUUUUUAUUAUAUCCCUCUUGAAUGCCCAUCAUAUUAGGACUAAAUUCAUAACCUAAGCAAGUUACCAUGCUGUUUAGAGGGACUCUCAAAAUAAUAUAAGUGAAGCAUGAGAGUUCAACCAUUUCUGUAAAAUAAAGCCACCGUCGUGCUCUAAAAAGAUAUAAGUGAUUGCCUAGCUCAAAGGAUAUAAGUGAAGCACAUAGAGUAUUCUAAUAAAUCACGAUUCAUGUGUGUCCCUCUCAAAAGGUGUGUACAGGAAGGAUGAUUGUGGCAAACUAAAAAGCAAAGACUCAAAUCAUACAAGACGCUCCAAGCAAAACACAUAUCAUGUGGUUAAUAAAAAUAUAGCCUCAAGUAAAGUUACCCAUAGACGAAGACAAAAGAGGGGAUGCCUUUCGGGGCAUCCCCAAGCUUAGGAUCUUGGUUAUCCUUGAAUGUCACCUUGGGGUGCCUUGGGCAUCCCCAAGCUUAGGCUCUUGCCACUCCUUAUUCCAUAGUCCAUCAAAUCCUUACCCAAAACUUGAAAACUUCACAACACAAAACUCAACAGAAAAUCUUAUGAGAUCUGUUAAUAUAAGAAAAUAAAUCACCACUUUAUGGUACUGUUGUGAACUCACUCUUUAUUUAUAUUGCUGUAAUAUCUACUGUAUUCCAAGUUCUCUAUGGUUCAUAUCCCCCCCGUGAUACUACCCAUAGAUUCAUCAAAAUAAGCAAACAACACAUUGAAACAGAAUCUGUCAAAAACAGAAUAGCCUGUAGCAAUCAGAGAACUUCGAAUACUUCUGUAACUCCAAAAAUUCUGAAAAAUUAGGAAAACCUGGGAAAUUUUUAUAUCAGUCUUGUGUAAAAAACUCAGAUCAAAAUCACGCCUACGUGAAUUAUGAAAAUUAUUUUUCUGGGCGUAAAAGAUUUUGUUUUUCAGCAAGAUCAAAUCAACUAUCAGCGUAAGCCAUCCCAAAGGUCUUACUUGCCACAGACACUAAUUAAAACACAUCUAACCAGAGUCUAGAUGAAUUAUUUAUUGAAAAAUAGCAAGGGAAUAUAUUGGGUUGUCUCCCAACAGGCGAUUUUCUUUAAAGCCUUUUAGCUAGGCAUUGAUAAUUUCAAUGAUGCUCACAUAAAAGAGAAGAAUUGAAGCACAAAGAGAACAUCAUAAAACACAUGACAAACACAUCUAAGUCUAACAUAUUUCCUAUGCAUAGGCAUUUUAUAAGUAAACAAAUUAUGAAGGCAAGCAAAAACUAGAAUAUGCAAGGAUGAAGAAAGAGACGAUAGCAAUAUCAACAUGAAGAGAGGUAAUUUAGUAACAUAAAAAUUUCUACAACCAUAUUUUUCUCUCUCAUAAUAAUUACAUGUAGGAUAAUAAGCAAAUUCAAUGAUAUAGCUAUCACAUAUCAUAUUCUCAACAUGAUCCACAUGCAUACGAAGUUGACACUCUUCCAAAAUAGUGGGAUUAACAUUAACUAAAGUCAUGACCUCUCCAAACCCACUUUUACAAAAAAUUCAUAAGAUUGAACAUUCUCCAAAUAUGUGGUGUCUAAAGUUGACACUCUUCCAAACCCACUUUCAAUAUUAUUGCAAACAUUAUUAUCAAUCUCAUAUUCAUCAUGGGGCUUAAAUAGUUUUUCAAGACCAUAAGAAGAAUCACCCCAAUCAUGAUCAUUGAAACAAGUAGUAGACAUAGCAAAAUUAGCAUCUCCAAGCUUAGGGUUUUGCAUAUUAUUAGGACAAUUGCUAGUAAUAGAAUUUAUAAUUACAUCAUUGCAAACAUGAUUUUCAUUCAAGGAGCUAUCAUGAAUCAAUUCGUAAAUUUCUUCUUUUAACACUUCAUCACAACUUCCGGAUUCAUGAAUUUCAAGCAAAACUUCAUAAAGAUAAUCUAGUGCACACAACUCACUAGCAAUUGGUUCAUCAUAAUUGGAUCUCCUAAAAAGAUUAGCAAGUGGAUGAGGAUCCAUAAAAUUUUUGGUUUCUAAUUUUCAACAAACACACAAUUAUACCAAGCGAACGAGCAAACAAACCAAGUAAGACAUAAAGGCAAAUGAAAAGACGAACAGAAGAAGGGCGAAAAAGGCAAAUCUUUUCAAAAAAAUCAUUUUAGAAGCGGGGGAGAGGAAAACGAGAGGCGAAUGGCGAAUAAUGUAAUGCAAGAGAUGAGAGUUUUAUGAUGGGUACAUGGUAUGUCUUGACUUGGCAUAGAUCUCCUCGGCAACGGCACCAGAAAUUCUUCCUGCUAAUUCUUGAGCUUGCAUUGGUUUUUUUCCCUUGAAGAGGGAAGGGUGAUGAAAUAAAAGUAGAGAUAAGUAUUUCCCUCAGUUUGAGAACCAAGGUAUCAAUCCAAUAGGAAAAGAACGCACAAAUCACCUGUAACAUCCCAAAUUUUCAAUUUGGAAUGUUAUACAUUAGAUCAUCUUUGCAUAUCAUAUUUUAUUUCAUUUUGGUUUGAUCCUAGAAAUUCUACGCAACUGAAGGACCCAUAGAGAGAGUUGGGGAUUUCGUUAUUUUCAUAUUUGAGUUUUCUCAAAUUUUGAAAAUAGGAUCAUCUGAUUUUUAUUAUUUUAUCUUCAAUUAUUUCUAUUACAAAAAUAAGAGAGAGGGAAUAAAAUUACUUUCCCAAAAUAAAGAAAUAUUGAGGAUUUAAUAUUAAAAUAAAAUAAGAUUUUAUUUCAUAGUUUUAUCGCUAUUUUAUUUGAAUUAGGAAAAAUGCGCAUAUUUUCAAAUUGCAUUUAGGACCCAAAUAAAUGUUCAUCUUGUUCGACUUGAUUUUAGAGGACGGGAAUUUUUUUCGGGAUUUUUGGAGUCCGUUUAGUAUUUCUUUUAUUUGUUUUUCUGCGCAAAAUUAUUUAAAAAACGAGAACCGACUCGGGCCGCCGUGGGCGACCCGGACCCCUCUUCGCCAGGCCUUUAAAAGCUGCCCGAGCUGCCCCAGCCCACCCCAGCCCACCGCGCCCCAAACCCUAACCCUAAGNNNNNNNNNNNNNNNNNNNNNNNNNNNNNNNNNNNNNNNNNNNNNNNNNNNNNNNNNNNNNNNNNNNNNNNNNNNNNNNNNNNNNNNNNNNNNNNNNNNNNNNNNNNNNNNNNNNNNNNNNNNNNNNNNNNNNNNNNNNNNNNNNNNNNNNNNNNNNNNNNNNNNNNNNNNNNNNNNNNNNNNNNNNNNNNNNNNNNNNNNNNNNNNNNNNNNNNNNNNNNNNNNNNNNNNNNNNNNNNNNNNNNNNNNNNNNNNNNNNNNNNNNNNNNNNNNNNNNNNNNNNNNNNNNNNNNNNNNNNNNNNNNNNNNNNNNNNNNNNNNNNNNNNNNNNNNNNNNNNNNNNNNNNNNNNNNNNNNNNNNNNNNNNNNNNNNNNNNNNNNNNNNNNNNNNNNNNNNNNNNNNNNNNNNNNNNNNNNNNNNNNNNNNNNNNNNNNNNNNNNNNNNNNNNNNNNNNNNNNNNNNNNNNNCCGCCGCCGACCGCCGCCACCCGCCGAACCCCGCCGCCCUCGCCGGAGGUAGCCCCGCGCCGCCGGCGGUUUGUUCAAAAAACUGCCCGGUUUUUUUAUAAAACCGCGGUUGUUUUUUAUUAGAUCAGUUUUUAUUUUUUUGGUUUAGUUUAUUUAGCGGACGUUUGUCCAUACGUUCGUUUUAACGAUCUGUUUUCGUCGUUUAGCCGCAGACAGCGAAUGUUUGUUCGUUAGCCUGUUCGUCUGUUUUUUCUUUUUCUCAGAUUUUCCGUGAUUAUUUCUGAUCGCGAUUUCUUAUCCGAUUUUUGUUCUAGGUUAACUUUUCGCUCGUUUAUCGGAAUCAGGCGAUUCAAGCGCCUAGAGUUUCGUCUCGAAACCCUCUUUCCGUUUAAGCAACUCAAACAAGUUUUUGCCACUAUAAAAUUUGACUUAGGUCCAGAUUAGUAAAUGAAGCUUGUUUGUUUCGCCUUUGAGUUUCAUUGCUUCGUUUGAUUUGAUUUUUUUUGCAAACCGGAGUUCUUAAGUUGAACUUUCUGGUUAGAUCUUUUAUUUGAGUUUUACCUGUGCAUUAUAUGAGUGCUUAUUGUAUGCUUGUUUGUUUGCGAUAGAGUACGCCGCUUGCAAGCCUUCCGCUGUUAUCAUUAUUAGAUGGCCUUAAGCCAUAUUUAUUGCAAUAAGUUCUCUUUUGAGACAUUCGAUGUAAUAAGUGUAUGAUUGCUACUCUGUUAUAAAUCCUUCAAGUACUGUGCGUGUCAGCAUUAUCGAUCCAUGGAUGACACUGAUUGCUACCUCAUCUACCCGGAGUGCGCCACUUGCUACUUCGAAUCUCUAGGUUUCACGGAUCAUCAGCAAAGCAAGUAACACUUUGAUUAUACCUAUUUACUAUGCAGUUUUAUUGCAUUCGAUCAAUCCUCAAAAAAUUGCAUUAUUAGGAUCUGUUUAACAUAUGGGUAUUGGGAAGUAGAUGAGGAAGUACCUAUUACCUGUUUUCUUAUCAAACCCUUGGGAGUUACUUCUACGUUUGCUUAUAUUGCUUUGCUAUGCUAGUAGACGUGGAUUGGGUGAGUGUAUCCAUGACAGAUGUGAGAUUGUUAUUUAAUGGUUUACUUAAGGUGGCAACUUAAAUUCCCAUCUGGGUGGAUUGAGGCACCUGGGGAACCCAGUGUUGCCUGUAUUUUUGGAAAUCCCGGGGCACCGUGUGAUUCUCCUAUGGACCGCCACCCAGACUCAAAGGGAUCAUGAGAUUAUUCAUGCUAGAAACUUCCGUGUGCAGUCGCAAGCUACUAUGGGCUCUAGCAUAGUUGAGUAUGUUGCGUGAGCUCUUGAAGAGGUAGACUAGAAGAUGUAGGGCAUGUAGGUGGUACUGCCUACCCAGAGUAGAGAGUUAAUGCUUCUGCAAGACUGUGUCUCGGUCAUCUUUUUCUCAAACACCAUGUAGUGCGAGAAAUCCAACGAAGGAGAUCGAGUCUUGCGGGGAAAAGUGCGCAAACCUCUACAGAGUGUAUAAACUAAUCAUGGUUAGUCGUGUCCCCGCUUAUGGACGUUUUGAGUAUCUAGUACUUGGAUUAUCAUGUGAAUCUCAUCAUGUUACUUAAUUUAUUUUUGUUGGGUUAAUGAUGACGCUUAUUUGGGAUUGAGUUGGAGUAACCUUCUCAAUGUUUAACAACCAGCAUGAUAGUUAAAUAAAAUGUAUUCCUUUGUUGUAGGAAAAAAUUGGCUUUAUGCAAAACUGUAACCAUAGAGCUUUCCACCAGCCAUAUAUGCAUGUAGUGAUAGCAUUAUUCUGUUCAUUACUCUCUAUGUGUUACAUUGCCAGCAUAUUCCAUGUGCUGACCCGUUUCGGGCUGCAACGUUCAUGUUGCAGACUUUUUAGACGACAAGUAAGGUGCCUUAGGUCGUGGUCUUAUACUCAGUGAUGCCGUUGGAGUUGAUGGACUCGCUUAUCUUCCAAGCCUUCCGCUGUUAUCAUUAUUAGAUGGCCUUAAGCCAUAUUUAUUGCAAUAAGUUCUCUUUUGAGACAUUCGAUGUAAUAAGUGUGUGAUUGCUACUAUGUUAUAAAUCCUUCAAGUACUGUGCGUGUCAGCAUUAUCGAUCCAGGGAUGACACUGAUGCACAAAGAUCAGACUGUUUGAGGUCUGGUCGCUACAUCACCAAUACCUGCACAAAUAAUCAAACAACUUGCAGCCAAUGCGAUAAAGGGGUUGUCAAUCUCUUCAUGGUUACUUGCAAAAGUGAGAUCUGAUAAACAUAGAUAAACAAAAGAUAAUAUUUUUGGGGUUUUUUUGGUUUAUAGAUCUGAAAAUAAAAGAUUGCAAAAUAGUAGAUCGGAAACUAAUAUGAUGGAAAAUAGUAGAUCGGAAACUAAUAUGAUGGAAAAUAAAAGAUCGGAAACUAAUAUGAUGGAAAAUAGACCCGGGGGCCAUAGAUUUCACUAGAGGCUUCUCUCAUGAAGGCAAAUAAUACGGUGGGUGAACAAAUUACUGUCGAGCAAUUUAUAGAAAAGCACAAAGUUAUGACGAUAUCCAAGGCAAUGAUUAUGCAAUAUAGGCUUCACCUCCAUAUCAAGUAGACCAACUCCUGCCUACAUCUACUACUAUUACUCCACACAUCGACCGACUCCUGCCUGCAUCUAGAGUAUUAAGUUCGUAAAGAACAGAGUAAUACAUUAGGUAAGAUGACAUGAUGUAGAGGAAUAAAGUCAUGCAAUAUGAUGUAAAUCCCAUAUUUUUAUCCUCGAUGCCAACAAUACAGUACGUGCCUCGCUACCCCUACUAUGUCACUGGGUGAGGACACCAUAAGAUUGAACCCAAAGCUAAGCACCUCUCCCAUUGCAAGAAAAACCAAUCUAGUUGGUCAAACCAAACCGAUAAUUUGGAGAGAAAUACAAAGAUACCAAAUCUUGCAUAUAAGAAUUCAGAGGAGAUUCAAAUAAUAUUCAUAGAUAAUCUGAUCAUAAAUCGGCAAUUCAUCGUGUCUCGAUAAACACACUGCAAAAAAGUAUUACAUCGGAUAGAUCUCCAAGAACAUCGAGGAGAACAUGGUAUUGAGAAUCAAAUAGAGAGAAGAAGUCAUCUAGCUACUAACUAUGGACCCGUAGGUCUGUGGUGGACUACUCACGCUUCAUCAGAAGGGCAAUAGAGUUGAUGUAGAUGCCCUCCAUGAUCGAAUCCCCCUCCGGAAGGAUGCUAGAAAAGGCCCCUAGAUGGGAUCUCACGGGAACAGAAGGUUGCGGUGGUGGAAAAGUGUUUUUGUGGAUGCUUCUAAGGGUUUGGGAACAUUUGCAAAUAUAUAGGAGGAAGAUCUUGGUCAGGAGGUCACUGAGGGGCCCACUAGGUAGGGGGCACGCCCUCCACCCUUGUCGCCACCUCGUGGCUCUUCUGACUUGAACUCCAAGUCUCCUGGGUAUCUUCUGGUCCAAGAAAAAUCAUCGUGAAGUUUUAUUCCGUUUGGACUCCGUUUAGUAUUCAUUUUCUGCGAAGCUCAAAUACAAGGAAAAAACAGAAACUGGCACUGGCCUCUACUUUAAUAGGUUAGUCCCAAAAAUAAUAUAAAAUAUCAUAUAAAUGCAUAUAAAACAUCCAAAAACAUAUAAUAUAAUAGCAUGGAACAAUCAAAAAUUAUAGAUACAUUGGAGACGUAUCACGGCACCAUCUCCACCACAGAGCUCCCAAACAAGGGCAGUUAGUAAGGCAGCUCCAGUGCCCAAAGCGCUAGUACUACCACGGCGAACCCCAACUCCACCAGUUAGUAAACCUAUUCCUGUGGAGGAAGCACAACCAGCCAUUCGUAGUUUAGCAUCUAUCGCUUUUGAUGUUGUUAAAUACUAUGUGCGUACCUUCCCAUCAUGGAAAUAUUAUAUGGAAGAUGUAGGAAAAUGUCAGUUGCAGGUGUUCGUCCAGGAGUUAUGCGUAAGUAAUGUUAUUCAUGGCAAUUAUUUUGCUUUGUCCAAUACAUUCUGCCUCCAUGAUAGUUAUAAUAUAUAAAAUUUUCCCAUUUUUCUCUAUAGAGAAGGACCAAUUUGAAAACUCGGGAUGAGGUAACUUGUGCUAAUAACUCUGCUAUCUUCAAGAAUGCUUGGUGGCAGUAUCAAAAUUACCUAAAGAACAUGUACUUCACUGGCAAACAAACUCAUCAAAUUCCCUUACGUUCUCGUGACACACAUUUAUGGGACGAUGACUGGCAACGCCUUGUUCUGUAUUGGUCCCGAACCAAGAAUGUGGUAAGGUCUACGAGCUCAUUUUUUAUUUUUAAGUAUUAUAUGUGUGCGUCUUACUAUACUCUGUUUGUGUAGAACAAAUGCUUAAACCUGAAGAACAACUGUUCUCAUUUAAGAUUCCAUUGCUAUCAUGCAUACUGCUUUGCUCUUGUGUCACUAUAUUUACUCAUACAAACUUACUUUUAAAUUGAAGGAUCCAAUAGAAACUCCAAUGGCACAACAGGUAUGUAUAAGCAUGUUUCUUUAACAGGUUUGCUCUUAUAAAUAGCUCUGUUGAUUUCAAUUUCAAUUGUGUAUAUAGUUGACUUCUCAUAUCAUGCACAUUACUAGCAUCACAACAGAGCCAAUAGUGUUGUUGUACAUGUAGACCCAUGGUAUCCAUCUGAAAUCUUGUUGUGUCGCGUAGUUUCCCACGCUUUGUAUUCUUUCAAUGCUGGAUUGUCUUGAACAAAUAUGAUUUGAACCAUGUCUCUAUUUUGAUUUGGCAAGACAACGCAUUGACCAUAGGACAUAGAUAUAUGUUUGUUUGAUGCUUUUAUUAUGUACUACUUGGGAAUAGAAGACUUGGUAGUUUAAUCAUGUCCACCUUACUAAUGAACUGGUUCACCAAAAUGAGUUUCAUAUACUACAUGCUAAACAUGUUACGUGUUUGCUUGUUUCUUCUUUUAUAAUGCUGACGAAUAUUGGGGAAGAGUGCCUUAUUAAGCAGCGGUAAAGGAAGUAAUGCAGAUAAGGUUCGGGAUAGUGAAACAUCCUUGUUGGUCUCCAACAAAGCUAAUAAAACAGCUAAGAAAAACUAUCUUGAAGACGGUGAGAGAACCCCAAAGUCAUGUCUUGGUGUAGUGUUCGAGUUACUGGCCACUACCGCUGGCACAAAGUGGCACCCUGGCUCAGAGAAACCGGAACGCCCCGUAUUCCAGCCCAGAGAUCGAGGAGAAGUCUUCUAGAAGUAUAGAACAAAUCAGCUGUUUAUUACAAUCUAUAUUGGGUUGUACGAGGAGAUUACAUUGGCACGGUGACACUACGCCGGCCACGGUUGCUCCAUGCAAGCAGCAGAACAACAUGAAGCAGCGGAAUAACUUCUAGCAGUGGAACAACGGUGACGGUGAUGAACUCCACUUCGCAGGGACUCUGGCUGGAACGUGUAUCCUAGCUCACAAACAAGGGAUCCACGGCAAACAAGCAAUCAAAUCCGGCAUGACCUCCAAACUGGCACGACACGCCAGGUCAGUACAUUGAAUGUACUUGCAGGCUCACAGCAACCAAGAGCAAUCAAGACAAACAACAACAUGGCAAUUACAGGUUAACAAUGAGUAACAUGAUAUCAUCAUAACAACAUGGCAUGAAUAACAUGAACAUGAUACAGCUAGAACAAUAUGAGCAUGGCAUGAACAUAUGAAUCUGACGAUACUAGCAUGCAACAUGAUGACACUAUCAUGCACCACUUAUUCUGCUCAGGUUACCUCGUCACCAUCACAUGCAUCAGUUACCUCGGACAUCUCGCGAUCAUCUCGGGAUCAAAUCAAGCUUGGUAUAAACAAUACCGUAGUAAUCAUGUCAUGACCACAAGUAGCUUGAUCUUUGCCCACGAUUCUUGCACAACAGCACAAAUAUCCAACAACUUGGUAUCCUCGAUACCAUGGUGAUCCUCUCACAAUCACAUAACCAACUUCGGUAUCCAUGAUACGAUGGUGAUCCUCUCACGAUCACAAAACCAAUUUCGGUAUCCACGAUACCAUUGUCAUCCUCUCACGAUCACAUAAAAAUCAACCAACUUCUCUCAUCAACAAAUCGGGUUUGUUGUUAAGCACAUCAUUAUUAUUACUAUUGACCCAAAGUAUGACCAACUACGAACUGGGCCCUUAUCCACGGGCGCAACUAUCAAUAGAUUUAACACACACUCUGCAGAGGUUAGAAUAUUGUACCCACACCACGGAACCCAUGGCCUCGAAAUCCCGUUCGGGUGGACCAAUGGCAUUCCGAAAAGACAGCUCUAUUGCCGAUCACUCUCCCAGCCACUCCGACCAACUCCCCUCUUGGCUAAGUCAUGAGUGGCCCCAUGCCUACCAAUGACAUCAAAGGGCACCAUCGUGGCAAAACAUAAACGGUCCUAGACGGGGACAUGUGCACAAAAGCAAACAACAAUGGGCACACAAGGCUUAUGUUUGCCUACCUGAUCAGGGUAGCGCGCGCCCAUAACCUUCUAUCGUUGGAGGCACCGGCGAGGGGCAUGACAAUAGACCCAGUUAGGACCUUCCCAUAAAGGCAAAUGUGGUUGCACUGGUCAGCUCAAUAUGGUGGCACCAUGACUCAGCCAACAGUUGUUCAAGUUCAAUUAAGUCCGGUUAAACUUGAAUGCGACAAGCUGAGUCAUACGAAAAUAACAUGAUGCAACUACAAUGCAUGAGCAUGAUAUCAACAUAAGCAUGGUUGUGCAUCAUCACUUCUUAACAUAUCAAAAACAAUAAAUCAUAUAUUCGACUGAGCAUGGCAUACUGGCUAGCAUGAACAUCACAAGUACACUACUCAGAAAAAUAGCAGGACCAUGAGCAGCAAAAUAAAUGCCAUGCAAGAACAUAUCAAGCAUUCUACCAGGCAAGCAUAUAACUAGAUAAAUGCAAAGAAACAUGCACAUCCACGGUACUUGGUAACCGACAAUUGCAACAAAGAACAUUACCAAUAUCAACAGGUACUACUACCAAGCUUAACAUACGAAAGAAAUGCUGGAAACUAUUACGUGGUAACCAGAUGCAUCGAAACAUAGCACGAAAGUGAACAUGAAACUCUAAGCAUCACCGAAACCACGACAACAGUAGCAAAACCAGCAGACAUUUAUUAAAUAUUCAUAUUGAAAACCAUGGCUACUGCAUGACUAUCAUGAAGGAUACUCUAGGGAGAUGUGCGGGUCAAUAAUGGGCGGGUCCCACUCCAAUCUCACUAUCCUCCUGCUCCACCUUCUUCUUCCCCCGACACGGGCACAGAACAGAGGAAGGGGCACCGGCGUCGAAGCUGGCCCAGCGGCAGCGGAAAUCCCCGGCCAAGGUCAGGCCACCGGAGGACUCAGGGAAAGGUGACGCACCCAACAUGGCUAGGCACGGACGCCGAGGAGGACUGGAGCAGCGAUGGCCUGGACCCCGAUGGAAGUGGCCUUCGGCCAAACUUUGGGCACGUGGCCACAGUGCUGUAGGAGAGGGGAUGUUGGUAUGGAGACGUUUGUGGUGCUCCGUGGAAUGCUCUGGUGGUGGCAGAACACUGACGGAGGGCUCGGCUUGAGCAGAUUUUGGCCGGAGGGUGCGGCGGCCAUGGUGGCAGUGAGCAAUGAGGAGAGCAGCUCCGGCUCGUGGAAGCUGUGGGGCGGGGUCUUGGUAGAGAGGGGAGGGCGAUGGAGUGCUCGGGCACCGUGGGGAGGGGCUACUUAUAGCCAGGGCGAGUGGCGCAGGCUUGGGUGCGACCGUGGGGGUCCGGCCAAUCCUUUGACGAGCUCAUCGAUCACGGGGAGGCACAUGAAGGCGGCAAGGGAGGGAACGGAUGAGCUAUAGAGCUCUUGGGGCAGAAGGGGUCAAGGGCACAGGAGGAAGAAGCAGUCGAACGCCAUUAAUGCCUUGUCGGUCACAAUGCUCCCAUGGGCGAGCAGCGACGAGCGCCUAUGAAGUGGCUUCGGGAGGGAGAGAUGAGUCCAGGGAGAAGAGGACGACACAAGCUAGCUGUUGGACACGGCCGGUUGUGCAAGAACGACGAGAGGGGAGGGGCCCGAGCAAGAAACCACGCAGCUCACGGCCAUGGCAUGCCAGACUCGUGAUCACCGCAUGAGCUGGUGAGGAGAAGGUGCCAAGGGCUGGAAAGUGUUGUCUGCGAGUUAGUCAUUCCAAGGAAGGUUGCAACUGAGGUGGUAGCUCGGUAAAAAUGUUGUGGUUAAAAGGUAAGAAACCUCUGAAGUUUACUGUUGAAAACUUGAUCAAGCCAAUGUGAUCAACAGAGAGGUGCUAAGGGCCAAAUGAGUUGUUUGGGAGGUUUAGGAUAGGAAGGACUCUAGUUCUGUGAAUUUAGAGAGGAAAUGGACCAAGGAUUAAUAUAGUAGCUUUAUAACUAACCAAAAUGGUCCAGAAACUUGAGCAUGAUGAUGCACUCACAUGGAGUAUCAACUUGAGCUCAAAUUGGGCAAGGCAGAGUUAUUUGGUCAUAUGAAGAGGCUAAAAAAGUUUCAUACCAAAUGGACAAGCCAAAAUGGUACUUGCUUCACAAACAUCUCCUGUCGACAGAAAUUUGCAAAAAUUCCUGAGGGAAAAUGGCUGGAUGAAAUAUGCCCAAAUUUGUUGGAGAUAGGUUAUAUGGAUAAGAGAAGGGCUAGGAAAAUUUUCAUCCCUAACGGAGCAAGAUAAAAUAUAGUUGCUUCACAAACUGAAAAUUUGGACAAAAACAAAGAACUGAAGAUGAGCUCACAUGGAGGCAUGACAUGAGCUCAAAUUUGGUGGAGAGCUUUGAUAUGAUGAUAUUGAGGUAAUGCAUAAAUUUCAACUCAUUUGGAUAUGCCUAGCUUGUACCUCCUUCACAAAGUUUCUUUCUGGACAGAAACUUUGUAAAAUUAUUAGUCAAUAAUUACUAGGCAAAUGAGCUUGAAUUUUGGCAUGUGGCAAUGUUAUGGACAUGAAAAUAUUUUCAAAAGAUUUGAGGUCAAUUGGGCAAAGGAAAACAUCAGUUGCUUCACAAUGUGCCAUUUAGGGCAGAAUAGGAAAAUAAUUAUUUGAGGAUUAUUUUUGAACAUGGCAAUAAAAAGUUUUGCCGCAUUUGAUGAAGAUAUGAUCCAAACAAUUUAUGAGAAUUAUAUGGGAAUUUUUGGAGUGAUACAAAUAUAGAUUGCUUCACAACCUAGGGUAAAAGAGAUAAUUCCUUCAAUAGAAAAGGAAUAUUCCCAAUAAAAUGUAUAUUGGGAUUUGGUCUAGGAAGAAAAUGGCAAGGUCUAGGGAAGGAUUUGGGUAUGACAAGCCACUCUGAAAAUAAAGAAGAGGUCAUUUUCUUCAAUUUCCCGACCACAUAGCCACAGAAAAGGAAAACUCAAGUAAAAUCCUCAGGAAAUUAAAGAAAAAGAAAUGGCCAAAAAUCAGGCUAUGACAAACCUUCCCCCCUUAAUGAAAUCUCGUCCUCGAGAUUUGGUUGCUCAGGGAAUAAGUAUGAAUAUAUCUGACUUUAAAGAAACCGUUUCCAACUCGGGUAUCCUUUUUCCUUUAUUGUUGUUCCCACUAAUUUUUUAUCUCACUUACCUGACUGGCUCUAGGGUGGUUUGCUUCACUGUAUCCACAUUCUGACAGAUCUUACCUCACAUGUUCAUGCUUAUACAGGCUCCAUUUAUUUUCAUAUCGAUCGAUUUAGCUGACUGUCAUAGAUUAUCAUGACUGAAAUAUAUGCCUGUCUCACCAGUCCGAGAGUGAUUUCCGAUGGGUGUGUCAUCCGUCAUUGUCAACCUUUUAUGAAGUUGUGAAUAAAUUUUUCAUGGUAGACACCCAAUCAUUUACUCCUUGCGUUUGGUUCCUUAAUAAGAUACGAGUUCUCCAGGUUCAAAACAAUGAUGUGAAUCAUAACCAUUCUCCUGGCAGAUUCUGACUCUACGCAGGAGUUUCUGAAUUAUCUUGACUAGUUCCACUGUCUUGAGUGUCAGAUCUGUAGCAAAUAUUUGAUUGUCGCCUGGUGUGGCCAGGAUGAAGGGGUACGACCUUACAUGAUAGUAUUCACAGAUUUGACUGACUAUGGAUCUUGUAGAAGAAUUUUGGCUCAUGACAGGCGAUCCUUGAUGAUUCACAUAAGUGAGGGAUCAUGCUUCAAGACUCUCAUUCAACAUUCUGAUUGCUCAUUCUGUCGGGGUACCCAUGGGAUAGUAGGUUGUGAGAUGCUUUACAAUAGUUGCUGGAGUCAAACUGUUGAAUUGACCUUUGAUCUGACUUCACAAACCCAGAUAUUCCACACUAACAAAUCUGAGCAUAUGCGGUUAACUGAGCGGGUUGUCUGGAUAUGGGUUCCUUACCAAAAUUGAGUAGACCCCGCAGGUGAGUAUUCAUGGUGGUCAAUACUAACUCAAACUGUCCGGGGUAUCUGCACCACGUGGGCCAUGCAACAAUUUUCUUACCUGUAUCGUCGGUCUUUGCUCCUUCAUUCUUGUUUUCUUGUCUGGAUCAUUUGCUGAAAAAGCUGGGUCAUAUUGCUUCUUCAUGUGACCCUAGGUACUGUCUAGUGCAAUAUUUCGGCAAUCAUAACAUAUCCUUGUUCAUGUACCAUGGGAACUAUACCGGGUUCACAUGUGCUUGCAUCUAACUCAUUUUUGUUGUAAAGCAUACCAAGUGGUGACGAAUGAUAUCACCUGGUCACGUAUGCGGAAUCAGGCCUGACUGAGCACUGCCAAAAUUUGCUGUCCCAUGUUGUCUUUUUCCAGAAUUUUUCGAUUUUUGCAUCACCAACUUAGGUGUAUAACUGGCUUUCUUAUCUUGCAUGACUCGUGAGAUUACCGGAUUCACACCUUGACUUCACUAUUGUACCAAUGACUUGCAACAACUUGGUAGCAUGCUCACGAUAUAUAUGAGAAUCUAAUUCUUGAGGUAGACUUGGCUUCUGACUGAUUAUUGCUUCUGACCAAACUGUUGCAGAUCUGCUUGGGAUACACUGCCAAAUGCUGCCAAUUCAUAGUGUAAUAUACCAUGUCGUACUGAGGGAGAUUGGAUGACUUAUGCUCAAAGAUUUCAUCGGGCAUCUUGCCAAAGAAGACUAGAUACCGUGUGACAGAAGCUUCCCCCCUUAAAGACUUUGCUGGGGAAAGACUCGGUACCUUAUGCCAGAAGCUUUUGCGGUUGCUUACUGAAGAAGGCAGAGUACCUCGCAUGGGAAAUCAUCCAGGUAUCGUACUGAGGAAGAUAGAUGAAUCUUUCCUUGGAAGCUUCUCUGGUAGCUUGCGAAGGAAGAACGAGUUGCUUACACCAGAAGCUUCUCAUUGUAAUAUGAAGACCAAUUUCUACAGAUACAUACCAACUUAAUACUUCUGUUGUUGUUUCUUGUAUGAAACAGGGUUUUGCUGGACUAUCUCCCUUUUGAGUAUUAAAUACACGCCCUAUUUUUUGUGCUCGCUUCCGGGUAUAUCAUGUUUCAAAAUCCCCCUCAAUGAAGAAUCAAACCUUGCAUCUGACCCAUACCUUUGACUGAUAAUAUUCUGCCAAUCUUGCACACAAUUUAUCUUCUUGCUGAUUUGAUCAUUUCUGCUAUGAAGAGUGCACACUGAGAUAAUCUUGAUUAUUCAGUAUCAGGAUCAGAUAUCCCAAAUCUCAAUGCAGUCGGCAGAGAAUUCCAUAUUGUUGUGAGGAGUUCACACUAAUGCAAACUUUAUACUAACAGACCAUCCAAGAUUUCUUUUGCAUUCAGACAAGGUAUUCAAAAUUUCACCGCAGUCUGUGGAUAAUUCCAUUCUAUUUAGCUGAGUUUCCAAACAUUUGCAUUCCUUGCUGACUCUUUGGGUCCAUUGUUCAUUGACGAGCAACUUUAAUAAGGGGAAAAUAUGCAACACCAAAGGCCCAAAGAAAGAAACAAAUGAAACAACGAAAACAAAAGCACACAAGCAUACUAAUAAUAUAAAUAAGCAAGCAACAACACAUAUUACUGCUACUCACACAAUAAUAUGCAUGCACACCUAAGAACACAAAUCUUGCGGAAACUCCGAUAUUAUGGUCUAAUAUGCUGUGAUGGUGUGCAUGAAAGUGAAAUCCAUGUGUGGAAGGAGUUGGCGUAACCAAGGCUACACCAAGCGCUAGCUGAACACCAGUUGCAUCUGGAUGCAUGCAGGGAUGAGGACGGACUUGGUGAUCAUGCAACGAGACACAAAGGUCGCGACCACAUCAUCAUGAAGCGUGCGAAAGGGAAUUGUACAUGUCCAAAGAAUGGGAUGACAUGGUAGGAUAGCAGUGGAAAAGCAAGGCUAGCUGGCAUUGCCCUCUUUUGAUAACAAAGAUCAGUAAGGGUUGCCAAAGGAAAGAGAUGGAGGGCACGAUUCGAGAUAGGGACAAGUCUAUCACCCAAACGAUAUGGGUGGAUGACGGAAAAAUAUCGACGCAAUACCUGAGCAUAACUCCUGCAAAUUGUGUCUGGAACACUUGGCACCAGGGCAUCACUCUACUGGGACAGAGAUGAUGCCAAAUGCCGACGAGCAGGCAUGCUAAGAAGGAGGGUGCAGGUAGUGGAUCAAAAACGAUGCCACCUACACUCACAAGAUUAACCAUUAGCGACAAGAUCAUAAUCUAUACGCAUGCUAUGCAACAAACAAAUGCAGCAAACAAGUGCGACAAACCAACUGGGCUCUAUACUACCACAUUCUGACGUCCGCGCGGGCUAGGGCAUCCUAUAGCCAGACCUCCUUUGAUACCAAGCCUUGUGGAACCCCGUCUCAGAGAAACCGGAAUGCCCCAUAUUCCAGCCUAGAGAUCAAGGAGAAGUCUUCUCGAAUACGGCACUGCUUAGCAUAGAACAAAUCAGCUCUUUAUUGCAAUCUAUAUUGGGUACAAUGAUAUUACAUCAUCACGGUGACCUAUGUGACGCCCUCGAUUCAAUCGUACACUAAUCAUGCACGCAAAUGUGUACGAUCAAGAUCAAGGACUCACGGGAAGAUAUCACAACACAACUCUAUACACAAAUUAAAAUAAUACAAGCUUUAUAUUACAAGCCAGGGGCCUCGAGGGCUCGAAUACAUAAGCUCGAAUACACAAGAGUCAGCGGAAGCAACAAUAUCUGAGUACAGACAUGAGUUAGACAAGUUUGCCUUAAGAAGGCUAGCACAAAAGCAACAUCGAUCGAAAAGGCAAGGC